AGGAGGAACAGUUGCCUCAGUACGUCUGCGCAGCUUUCCUUGCGGCGCCCCUCCGCGUGGUCUAUGAUGGUGCAUUUUGGUCCAGUCAGGCCGGGUGUGGUCGGCCUCAUUUUGGAUUACUUCCGUGGGCUUCUCCUCGGCGUGGUUACGGUCUAGUACACCUUAGUGUGCUUUUCUCUGCAUGGUCCUUCCCAGCGUGGCUCGUCUCAGCAGCGUGGUUUUCAUCCGUGUGAUCGUCCUCUGCAUGGUUUUUCACGGUGAGGUCAUAUCAGCCAGCAACCAGCCUCAGCGUAUUUGUCCACAAUUCUUUUGGAACUGUCUCUGCUCGGAUCACUUGAGCCCUACACCUCAGUCCCGACCAGCCAUCCUCAGUGUGCUUUGCUCAAUGUGAUCCUCCUCGGUGUUUGUCCUGAGCCUAGACCUCCAUAGUGAGGUCUUAUCUUGUUUCGUCAUGGUGAUCGGCGUUAUGGUCCGAUCUGCCUCAGCAAUCGGGUCACUUCCGUGUGGAUCGUUUCAGCACGGAUCACUCCAGCGCGGUCGGCUGCCUUGGCGCGAUCCACUUGGCUUCUCAGCAUUUUAUUUUAGCCUGCUGGGUUCUCUCAGUUUUUCUUCAACACGCUUCUUUUCCCUCUGUGUGAUUCUACUUGGAGAGCUUUUCUUUCUGUUCAGCUUGGUUCCCAGCGCUUCUUUUUCUCUGCAUGGUUCUCCUAGGUAUGUUUUUUUCUCAGCGCGGGUUUCUUCUCUGAGUCAGCACGGCACAAGUCGCAAGUCCGCGUGGCCGCGCUCAUCAUAGCCUCCCCCUCCACGCGGCAAGCACGCAUGGCCAGAAGCAGAGGUGAUUCUGGUGAUUCUGUGCCGCGCUUUCGCGGCUGGGCUCCAUCUUCAUUUUGCCGCAGUGGCUCCGUAUUCGUUUUGCAGCUACGGCUCGGUCCUCGUUUCACGACUGUGGCUCAGUUCUCGUAUUUUGCGUCCACGUCUCCGGCCAUGACUCCAUCUUUGUGGCUCAGGCUUACAGAAGCAGGGGUGGUCUUAAGGCCCUUUGAGCCCCCAGGUCGGUCGAGUUCCAAGGUGAGUGGCCUAGAACACCGGCUCAGGCCUUCGGAUUCUAAGCCCCGGGCUGAGUCGGAACACACUGGAGCUGAAACCGAAUCGGGUCUGGAGACCCCUGAGCUUUGUAGCCCGGUGUGGCCAGCACCAAGGUAGUGAGUGGAGUAUGUGUUGCUAUGUGGUGGCUGUUUUAAUGCUGAGAGUGAGGGGCCCCGUUCGGAAUGUUCAUGCAUGGUGGGGGAAGGGUAUGGUAGAACUGAGGCUGGGGAAGGCUGCUUAUUCAGAGUUUUGAACCGAGUUGUGAUCUAGCUCUUGGAUCCGAGUUGGGUGUGUGUAUGUGUGGGUCUACAGUGGUUCCGAGUCUAGAGUAGAGUCACGAUUGGAAUUGGGUAGAGAUUCGGGUCUGGAGCCGACUCAGAAUUCAGGUGUGGAGUACACCGUGGUUCAGGAUUGGGAACUUGGGGUGGAGGCCACAGUGGUUGCAGUGGGUUCUCAACCUUCCUUGUGCUUUGACCCUUUAUAAUACAGUUACUCAUGUUGUGGUGACCUCCAACCAUAAAAUUAAUUUCAUUGCUACAUCAUAACUGCAAUGUUGCUACUGUUAUGAGUCAUUAUGUAAAUACUUGUGUUUUCCGAUGGUCUUAGGCGAUCCCUAUGAAAGGGUUGUUCAAGCCUAAAGGGGUCACGACCCACACGUUGAGACCUGCAGAGUCAGAAUCAGGUCUGAAUCGGGGGAAUAGCAGAACUGGGAGUUACCUCCAGAUUUUCAGUUGGAAUUUGAUUCUCUUCUGUCUGUGGUUUUAAGUUGAGAUCCCAGAGGCUCAGGUCUCUGUUGGGGACCAGACUGAGGGUUUUUAGUUAUAUUCAGGACCUGACUGGGCAGUACAGUAAGAAUUAAAGUUGGUUUUGAGUGUGAGCACAAUGGUCUGAGGUAGGGAUCAGGACUGAAGUAUAAAGAGUCUGGUUUUUAACAAGUGGGAAUCACAUUUUGAGACAUGGGGUCCCAUGUGGUCUGUUGAUUUAAAGGACCAAGGCCAGGGCCCAAACCUUAGUCCUCCAUUUUGUUGUUCUUGCUGUUCACAUUCCCUUUUCUGUAAAAUGGGGAGGAAUGCUUUCUGCUGGAAACUUUCUGGGCAUAAAAGGGAGUAAGUAAUUCAUAGAGGUAAAAAUAGUCUUAUCUUAAAUGAUUAAAAAGUGUAAAAGAUUUCUCAAUAGUAAUAGGCACAAAUAAUACGCAUUUAACAAUCUUUUCUCAUACGGUGUGCCCUUUGUUAGGCACUACCAAAAAGGAACCUUUUCUGUUCUCUUCCCUAGAGCUUGCCCCACCCAGCCAUAGGCCUAAUACACAGCCAUCCUCAGGCAAUACUUGCUGAAGGAAAGCAGGCAGGCAGGAUUAACCAGAUUUCUAUGGUGUCUUAAAUGAUCCAUUUCUGCACCUGUUUUCCAGAUACUAGGAGAAAAAUUUAAAGGAUUGGAUUGCUUGAUUAUAGUUCUAUUUUAAUGUGUUACCAAACACACCGAAGAAAAAAAGUGGCUCUGUUUUGGGAUUUGUGCUCCAGCUAGAAGGAUCUUUUAAAAUUGCGAAUCAGAGCAUGUCCAAAUUCAAAUAAGGAGAGCACAAAUAAAGAAAAUUAUGAGGCACUUCCCUGGUGAACAUAGAUGAAGGUCCACUUACAGUAUUAACUAACUGAAUCCAAGAGAAUUUUGAACAACAGUUCUUAGACAAGUAGGAUUUCUCUGGAAUAUAAAGAUGAUCCAAUAUCAGAAACUCUAUCCGUGUAAGUCACAGUAUUAAGAGACUGCAGGAGAAAAAAACAUAUGGUUUUCUCAAUAGAGGCAGAAAAUUUAUAUGAUGAGGUUUGACGCCUAUGUAUGCAUUUGAGGGGGCUGGAAGGACAUUACUUAGGAAGCCAAAAACUAGAAGAGAAUUUCCCUAACUUGAUACAGUGUAUAUCCAAAUUUAACUUUUAAGUAAACUUUCAGGAGAAACUAUUAUUCCUGGUAAGAUAAGGAGCAGGCUAAGGGUAUUAUCUAGCCACCUCCUAAUAUAAGGAAAAGAGAUGGAGAUGUAAGACUUCUGUGGCAGGAAGAGCGAAACUAAUGACUUAGAAUAGUUGUAUUUGUAUUGGGGUUUGCAAACAUUUUGAUGUUACAAUCUUUGUGUACUUAAAAAAAAUAUUAACUCCCCCUCCCCACAUUUAUUUAAGAUGGACUAUGUUUAUUGGUAGUUACAGUCUUAGACAUUAAAAUUAUGUGCUUAAACAUAGAGCUGUAUCAUUGUAUAUUCCAAUGAGGGCAUAUCUCUGGGAAACUCUGACUUUGUGAGAAUCAAAAUAGAGAAUGCAGGUGAGGUAUGGGCAUAUUUAUUCCUCAGACCAUCUGUGGCCUUGCCUGGGAGGGUCUGAGAAGGCUUCUCGGGAAUUUCUUUGGACUUAACUGCUGAGCUACCUGAAAGAUAAGGUUUUGCAGCAGAAGAAAUAUUUGGGUACAUACAGUAUACCCAAACAAACAAAUGUAAAAAAAACCCACAUUCCUUUAUAACAAUAGUGAUGUAAAAGAUAGAAGAAGUACACUCAGAUACAAAUUAGAAUAGCAACAAGAUUGUCUGGUCUAUACAUUUUUUUUUUAAAGAUGAUGUUUAUGGGCAAACUGUGAAUUCCCAUUGGAGAUAAAGGAAGGUAUUUGGAGUGCAGGGACAUUUGUUUUCUUGGAUGGGAAGAUUUAGCGUCCGAAACCUCAGUAAUUUUGCAAAUCUAUAAAUUGAGUUAGAUUGCAGUCAGACUUCUAGCUGGAGGAUUCACCAUCUCUUCCUCAAAAAUGUAUGUGAAAGAAAAAGAUGUACAGAUGCCAAGUGAACUUUGAAAAACAUUCCAUGGCUUAGCAGCCAGAAGGGUGGAGUGACAGAGAACCCAGAACAGAGCUCAGCGAGCUCAGCCCCGAGUCUGGGGAAGGUGACAUGUGAUCAAAGUGGCCCCACAUAUCAGUGGAACCUCCUUGGAAGAUGUUAAAAAGCAAGUAAAAGAGAAAAAUCCUGUGAACUCAAGAGUCCUUAGAAAGGGGGAGCUCCAAACUGUAAGUAAAAGGUAGUUGCUAUUUAUUAAGAAAAACUACAGAGAAUAUUUUCUAGGGAAGCGUGGAAGUCUUAAGUAGGAUAAAUCUCAAGACUUCAAAUUUAUGAACUUGAAUUGGUGCAAAUUAAGGAUUUCUAUGAAUCAAACCCACCAUGGCCAGUGCCACUAGUUCCAUAAUUGAAAGGCAUGAUUUGCCUUUUUAUCCCUUCUCAUGCGUAGUUCUGCCCAUGACAAAUUACAAGAUAAUCAGAACACUAAAACCAGGGAGCAGCAGCUAAGACAGCAGAUCAGGAAGAAGGUAAGACAAGAAACUCACAGGAGGGUUACCAGUGAAGAUAUGCUCAAACUGAAGUCCCCAGAGAAAUGCAAAUCAAAGUGACAUUUAUUUUUCUUCUGAGAAGCCUUAGAAAGUAGGAUAAUGCCAAGUGUUGGCAGAAGGUAGGGAGCGAGACUCCCCGCCUGCCGCAGGUGAGAGGGGAGACCGACACAGACGUUCUGGAAAGCUGGCCAGCAUUUUUUUUCCUCAAAUAAAAUAUUUUAUACCUGCGGCGCAACAGUUUCCCUCCUGAGUAAACAUGCUGGAGCAGUUCUCCCCCAGAACAAGGAGAGGCUGUGUGUGCCUGCUCAGCACAGCAUGGCCUGGGGGUGGUGGGGUGGUGGGCAUUUGGCUCUGGUUGCUGUGGUUAGAAGCAGGGGACUAGAUGUACACUUCACACGAUGGAGACACAUGGAAACGGUGCUGAGUGACACAGACAGCAAACAGAAGGAGGGUUUCAGUCCCUGCCUUGGUGUUUAAAUUCAAAUUACACCCCUCCCAGACCUGAGCUAACUGGGCAUACUGUCCAUACGUACAAUGAUAUUAAUAAGCUACUCCAGAGCCGCUGUCUGAGUGGAAGGGAGUGGGGGGUUACAGGAUGGAGAUAGGAUGCAAAAGCAUGGAAGGAGCAGAGUGGUCCUUUUAAACAGACCCUUUCACAGUAACGAUUUUAUGGGCAGAAGGCUGUGAUUUACUCUGUGUGUUAUGCACCAGGACCCAAGAGCCAAGUAUGAAGGAGUGAAUGUGCACCCAUCACUCGCCUGCCAGAUACCCUCUACAGACUCCUAUUUCUAGGAACAUCAGCUUUUUACAAGGUUGGCUUGCCCUGAACUCUGACCAUUUCUUCUUCUCUUGCUGAGCUUGGGCCUCAGCAGCAUUCUCUGUGUACACGUGUUCUAGGUGCAUGCAUGGGUGGGGUCCAGAGGUCGAUGCUAGGUGUCUUCCUCUAUCACUUUCCACUUUCUUUUUUUAAAGACAGGAGCUCUCACUGAACCUGGAGCCCACCAUUUUGUCUUGACUGGCUGGCCAGUGGAGUCCCCUGGGAUCUUACUUAGUGUCUAUAACCUAGAACCCCAGUCAUGUGCUGCCAGACCUGGAUUUUAUGUGUGUGCUUGGGAUCUGAGCUCAGGUUCUCAUGAUUUCCAGCAAUCACGAUUCCCAGUAAGUACUGUAGCUACUGAACCAUCUUCCCAGCCCAAUAUCAACAUUUUUUUUUUUAUUAUAUCAGCAAAGUAUUCCUCCCGCUUCAGGGUCUUAAGGUUAGUCACUCUGCCUGACUUUUAUUUUCCCGUAAUUCUCAUAUCUCACUGCAAAUGCCUUUUCUAACCUGCCAUAUCAAUUAGUCUCCUCAGCUAAUUGCUACGUUAGUCUCAGAAGCAUGGGCUACACUGUGGUAUUCUUGUUCCUUGGGCGUGUCCACUUAAGUUAGCUGCCUGUCUCCUCCACUAGAAGGGAGGUCCUGGAUGAGCAUGUGUGUCUUCUCUGUAGGGUUAGCACUGUGCAGGCAUGUCACACAUUUCUGGUGAGUGGCUUCAUUGAUUUGUUAAAUGAAAGGAAAGAGCAGGCCAGGAAAGUGUUCUUCCACUUUCAGAAUUCAGUGAGAAAGUAAGUGGUGAAGAUUUCUUAACUGCCACCUUGGUGUUAUUUGGUGAAGGAUGGGGGUUGAGGGGAGAGGGGUGCUCUGUGUCGUAGUAUGUUUCGCAGCCUAAAUGGCAUUUAUCUAGUCCAAGUAAUCCCCUCACAGUUGUGAUAACAAAACCUGCCUCCCAAGGUUAUCACAUAGCCCUUGGGGUGGGGGUGGGGGGCACUCCCUGCCAGGUCUGCCUUAGACUAGUUGCAAGGAGAUGGAAAGCCUUUCAGCUUUAAACACAGGGUCCUUUAAACACAGCGGACCCUGGCCUUUAUCCUGCAAUGCACUAAAUCCAUGUCCUUAUGGUCCCUGUGAAGAUGACCCUGGCCUAUGCCUAUAUAAUAGAAGCACCUCCAUCUCUGCUCAUUGGUAUAAAUAUAUUUUGACAGGUAAUCCCGUCCUCACAAUGCAUGGGGUUCCAUUAAAAUCUUUACAAUAUUCUUAAAACAAAUAAACAAACAAACAGAACCCUACUUAUUGUUAUGUUGAUGAAUGUCUUGUCUGCGUGCGUGUAUGUAUACCAUGCAUGUGCCUGGCAUCCCCGAGGACAGAAGAAAGGAUCAAUCCCCUGGAAACUGGAGUUUCAGAGGGUUGUAAGCCACCACAUGGGCGCUGAGAGACAAAUGUAGGUUCUUUCUACAAGAGCAGUGAGUAUUCUCAGCCACUGAGAUAUCCCUAACCCCGGUUACAACCAUCCUUUAGCUGCAGUGCCUCAGUUGUGAGCAUUGGCACCUGCAGCUUUACCAGUUUGGAGACGGCCUGGAAAGAGGCUGGGUUGGGUCUUCUCACAGCUGCCAGUUAGUACAGACUAGUAAGUGGCUCUUGUGAACAAUAGAUCCAGAAGUUUACAGUACACUUAGGAGGAGAGGAAGGUUUGCCUCAGAGAAGGCUGCUUGGGAGAGUAAGUGGGUGGCCUCUAAUACUGGGUUUCCUUUCCCUGUGCUUGCCUCUGAUAUCAGCCUUUGCCAUGGUCCUCUAUGCUGCCUGGCCCCAGAAAGUCUGGGUCAGUGGCCAGAGUCCAGACUCCCAGGGUCCUGAUCAGAGUCCUCAGGAAGGCCUGAGAGAUUAGAGCACAGAACUCUCCUAGCCUCUCCCACUGGGAACUGAAAGCUUCCCUGAGCCUUUCCUAGGAACUGAGACCCUUGUUUGCAAUUUAAAUAUGCCCUCCUUUAUGGAAGAAUCCCAGCUCCUUGAAGAGCCUUGAGCUCAGCCUCCCUAGCAGUUGUAGCCUUAGCCAGGGGAUGAAACUGAUCUAAUUGGCCUUUCUCCUAAUAAUGCUAAUUGCGGCAAUUAGGCUCUGCGGAAUAGAGAAGGGGCAGGGCCAGGCCCACUAGUUUGCCCUUAGCUCAAAUCCAGGCCUACUUACUCAGGCUGCUGUCCAGGUUGACUAAGCCUGGUGAAGGUGCUAAAUAAGCAGAGGUUCAGCAGAGGGUGGUUGAAGCCUGCUGGCUUCCAGGGGCAAUCACAGUGGAUAUAGACCUGAGUUUAAUGUUCAGUCUAGUAUCCAUACAGGUGACUCCGGGCCUUGCCAUGUGAUCCUCCCAGAAGAGGGUCUAACUGGAGCAUAAGAUGGUUCGAAUUAAUCAGUAGACCAAUAUCUACCCUUUCCUCCCUCUCUCUCUCUCUCUCUCUCUCUCUCUCUGUGUGUGUGUGUGUGUGUGUGUGUGUGUGUGUGUGAGNNNNNNNNNNNNNNNNNNNAGAGAGAGGGAGAGGGAGAGAGAGGGAGAGAGAGAGAAGGGGGGGUGUGAGGGUGAGGGCAAGGGUGAGCAGGGGAGGGGGAAACAAAGAAGAGCGAGCAGGGGACCAUGGAUAAGGGCUUAUCUGGUCUGGCAGGAAGUUAGGUUUUGAAGCAUAUGGCUCUAUGGAUUAAGAAACCAUUCCUCCGUAUGGCCAAUUAGUAGAUCUAAUCCCCCCCAACCUCCUAACAUAUACUAAAGGAUCAAUGUUUCUUCACUCUGCAGGGUCUUGCUUACAAAGCACUCUGGGUCCUCUGGGAGCUGGGAAUCUGGUCUGAUGAAAGGAAGCGCAGCACAGGCAUAGGCAGCCUGAAUGCUUAGUUAUUCAAAGGUUACACCAUAGCUGACUUUGAAUCAGUAUAUAGUGUCUGCACGAUACAGAGCCUUUCCAGGAAGUGAAUUAUGUGUGGGAGGCAGGGAAGUGAUUAUUGCUCCAUUUUAUAGACUCAGCCAUUCCACACAUACUUGUUGAAAGUCCACCAUGCAUCGCACAGCUGUCUUGAGGAGGGAUUUUACAGGAGUCAGGUCACGCCUGUCCUAUGGUGCUUGUGUGUUGUUAUACACUGAAGGGAAUAUUCUUUGAGAUCUGGAGAUAUAGAGAAAGGACUAUUAGGAACCAGCCAGAACCCAUCUGGGAUCCUAGUUAGGCGCUAAGACCAAGAGGGCACUGUGGAGGAGGGAACACGAGAGAAAGAAGCUAGCUUUCUAAACCUGGGUACAGAGCUUCAGGUCUUGCUUCCUGUGAGGAUCUUGGGUUUGUUCUGAGACCACUGAGAGCUGCUAAGGCUCUUAAGUUCCCAUUCCAUUUAGAUCCCAUUCCGGGAACUAAGCGGAAUCCACAUUUUAAAAGGCUCUUCCUCCUGAGUGGAGGGGAAUAGAGGUUAUCAGAAGGUGUUGUGGUCUCCCAGAGGAGUGACAAUACAAAAGGAGGGAAUGGGUAGAGGGGAUAAGCAUCCUGGCUUGGUGUUGGACUAGUUGGGUCUCAGCUAGGAAAGAAGGCAUUGGAAGUGAUUGCAGGGUUUCAGGUUUACACUACUGGAAGGAUUUUUGUUUGGGGUGGAGCAUGAGUUGGAGGAGUGGAGUAUGAGGUGACAGAUAUGGUGGGUCCAGCUAUUGGAAAGCUAGUUUUUGUCAGUCCAGGAGCUCCUGGUGCUGAGGGAAGAGACCUGUGUAGGGAAAGAAAGGCAGCACUACUUAGUGGGUGUGAAACUGGGGACAGAGCUAGCAGGGUGACCCGGGAUAGAUGGACAGGAAAGAGGAACCCAUUCUUGCAGAGGUCACAUGGAGUCAAUGCUCUAGUCUUAUGAGGGUUGACAGUGGACAGCAACCAGCCUAGAAUGUGCCUCCUGCCAGUAUGACUAUGAUACUUGCCUUUCUCUGUGACUAGAGAGAAGGCCUUAUUUUGCAGUGGUUCUGUUUUCUCUCUGCGUUCCUAGAAUCAAGAGUCACAAAAGAACAUUUCUCCAUAGAAUGUGCAGGGAGGGUCACCUCCCUCCGGAGGCCUCGUCCCUGCUAAAGUAUUUCAUAAUCUUGGAACAAUGGAAAAUCCUUCUACCCAUUUUAAUGCAAAGCUGGGCAAGCUUAAAAAAAAAAACAAAACCAAAAAACAAAAAACAAACAAAUGGCCUUGAAUAGGCUGAGAUGAAAAGCAAAGAGGUUGCCAACAGAUAGAGACUGGGGGAGGGGUGUGCAGUGGGCAGGGAGAUUUUGGGAGGUUCCAAAGUUAGCAGUUUCUGAGCUUUACUGCUCAAACCUAGAGGCCCAAACCAAACAGAGCAGGUUCAGGGUUCAAGGUGCAAGGGGGCAACAGCCCUGUGUGGAAGAUGUCUCUUUCUUGUCAUUGUUCCUGAUUAGCUGUUCAAACAGCCUUCACAGGUUCUGCAAAAAAAAAAAUUGGUUAACUGUGGGUCCUCUAUAUCUUCUACUUGGUAAUUUUUAAACACAGCUGAGCCCCGGGUGCCCCUCCCAGAGGCUCAGAGGCCAGAGGCCAGAGGUCAGCACAAACUCUACACCACGUCUGCCUAGCCUUUACUUUGUGUGUCUAGGAAUGAUGUACAUUAGAGUAGAGGCUCUGAUACCUCCCUCACUCAGGUGCCAGGUCAAGGCUUCAUCCUCUGCCCUUUGCCCAGGGUUUAGUGGGGUUUGCUAAUAUUACUUAAUUCCUGAAUGAACCUUUUAGGUCAGCAUAAAAGAGCUGGGACUGUAUGGCAAAAUCUGGAUGGGGAAGAUGGCUCAGACUGUUAAAAACAAGCUCCCAACAGUGGGAGGGAAGCCCCCCUCCUUGAGGCCUGAGGUCAGUGUUCCCAUUAAUCCUUCUGCCAAGGGAUAUGUACCUAAAGGUUCUAGGGUCACAUCCUAUCCUUAACCACUUGGGACUUCUGAGAAAUGGCAUUUCAUAGCUACACGUACUGCCACAACUGUACACCAAGUGCACACACAUUCAUCCUGUUCCCAGCCAGGGCCCAAGACUGAGUCUCAUUCCUGUUUUACCUUCACUUAGCCUGGGUGCCUCUACCUUGUAAUAGAUGCUGAGACCUACUUAGACCCCAUGACUGUGCCUGACAACCAAAGAACCCCACCUUCUGGUGUCACCCACCUCACCCUAGCUCUCUGUGAUUCCAGCUUUUCUAAGGAAGGCAGGUAGCCUCAACCAGUCAUAUGCCCUGCCAGACAGUCAUGCCGGCCGCUCCAGUGCUCGUUAACUACCUUUAGGCCUUGUGGACUUCAUGUUCUAUGGAUGCGAUUUAGUACUCCCAAGAGCACCACAAGAAAGGGGAUAGCAAGCAAGAAGAAACUCAGCCACAUAGAAGGACUUGUUUGAGGCCACUGAGUGCCUGACACUGCCUCUGGGGAAACCAGCGCUCCAUGUCUGUAACCUUGACAGAGUGCUCUUGGAUUUAUGUUUUCAUAGAAGCAGUCUGGGGAGGGGUAGAGAGGCAGCUCCUGUUUUCCCAGCUCUCUGCUUGGGAAGUCACAGCUAUCACUGUUGAGAAAGGCAGCCCAGGUUUAGAGCAGUUGGAGGCUAUCCCCGAGAGUGGGCUGGAUGUAGAGGUAGGGGUGCAUAUAAAUACCAUCCUGGGUAAAUGGAAAGGCCACAGGCCACCGUGAUAAGGUACCACUUCCUCUUCCUGCCCGGUGGGCUGCUUCAGUACCAAAAUGUCCUGCCACUAACUUGAUAUAAACAAAUGGGCCUGAUCCAAAUGCAAAGAACAGAUGCCUCUAGCCCCCACUCCUCCUGCCCUGAUUUUCCUCAGUGGGCUGUAUGUCUCCUCUUGAUUCUGUUUCUAAAACCACCUAAACAUCAAGAAUCUGGAAAAUAGCUGCUACCGAAAAUGUUUAUAUUCUUCUUGGUAUGUCAUUCAUUCUGUUCCUCCCAGAGAGGCCUAAAUGCUGAGACACUGGGCAGAGGGCAAGGAAAAGUACUGCCCAGAUCUUUCCAGAGGCUGCCAAGAGACAAGGCUGUAGUUGUAGUCUUUAGGGCCAUCAGCCCUACAUGAUGCUGUCCUUCUCAUUCCCUUUUUCCUAUGGGUGGGCUUCUUCCCAUGGGCCACUUCUACCCAAAGCCACGUGAAAGGCCUUAAGUUCUAGAGGGAUAACCUGAGGGUGGCACUGAGUCGCAGGGUGCAGAUGAGAGAUUAUUGCAAGGCUGGUAGAACCCUCCAUCUGCAGGGCUGACUUCAAAGCUGCUGCUGGGCUUCGCCUGCUGCAUCAAAGUCAGCCAGUUAAACAGUUUUCACAUAAAAGGGAGAGUAGAGGGCUUAAAAGCCUUCCCAUGAAGACAGGCAGGCAUUCCACCCUCUUCUCAGGCACAAGAGCCACUAGCGGAGAAAGUAACUGCCUCUUAAAGACACAGAAAUCACCUUACACCCUGGUUUAGGAUUUGAAGACUAGCCUUAAGCACAAGCCUAGUGAGGCACCUGUGUGGAGGGAUCCUCCAUUUGCAUUCAGCUCCCUGCUUUAUAUCUGGCCUUGUAUUUUGCUUCCCUACCUCCAGCACCUAUGUUUUGGGGGUGGGGUGGGGGUAGGCUAUCUGGCUGUCUGGGAAUAAGGAGAUGUAUGGUAUGACAGCCCUGAGGGAACUCAGAGUCAGGCUGUUCAGGUUGGAUUCUAGCUUUUAGUCUAAAUAAUGGCUUUAUACAGUGCCUUUCUUCCAGUCCUAGCAGCCUUGUGUGAAUACAUUUAGAGGACACCCUCCUUCAGCCUCCCCAAGAAUGCUCUGGGAAGAUCCAGAAGACUCUACUUUGCUCUCUGUCUCCCCACUUCUGCCUUCUUCUUUGCCCCCGUUGGGUCCCUUGCCUGACUCCUGUAUACUGUGAUGGCAGAAGUACCAAUGUCUCGUCUCAAGCAGAGCCUAACCCAGCUUGUGCCUUGCAGAGGGCAGAGGGGUGCUCACCCUGCCCUCCUUCAGGGAGACAUCAAAGGGAAACUGGAAGCAUUCCCUGCUGACCCCCAGUGAGUGGGAGAAAAGCAGCAGCUUGGCUCAGCUGGCUGGGCUGGGGAUUUUCCAUCCUACCAACAAUAUCCACAGGAUAGAUACCCCACUCUGGCUUUUGAGGAACCAGGAACCCUCAGGAACCAGUGUUUGAUUUGCAGCCUGAUGGUGCCAUGAAGGGCUCAUUGGCCUUGGGGCAUGGCUAGCCACUUGAGGAGUUCCCUGUCCUCAUGACAUGCCAACGACCGGUUUGAAAUCUUAGCAUUUCUCACCCUAGCAGAGUACUACCUCGAGGUCCCCUGAGAUCAAGCUAGCCAGGGGAGAUCACAGUUUGUGUGGGGACCCAAGAAAGGUAGAGAGAAGACUGCCUGCCUUUUAUCUAUCAGCUGCUUAUCCCCCAGGCCUUUUGUGGAGUGCACACUCCAGCCUCCAUAGCAGCUCAGCACAGCCCAGGCUAUCCUAGACUGUCCCAAGUCCUCAAGGGUUUUAGCACCUCCCAAGCUGAGGGAACAGGAAGUCCAGAAAUAGAAGUCAACAUUUAUGCUAAACCAGGGUACCCUCCCACCUUCGACUAACAUGGGCUUUUGGCAGCUUCUGGCUCUCAGAUCUACAUGCAGAAUUUGUAGGCUAACUACUCUACACUAUCAGGAUAUCUAAUCCUGUCCCUCAAGAGUUAAACUGUCAGGUUUUUCUGAGUCACAGCAACCUUAGGCCUGGUAAGUCAUAGUGAGCAUGUUUCCCUUUUCAGCCUAGAGCUCAUAGGACGGGCCAAAGAGAAUGCAGUGUGGUUUCAAGGAUGUCCAGGGCCAGCAGCACUACCUGAUGAGAUGAGAUGAGAUGCUUGCCUGCUCCAUCCUGCCAGGGUCUGGUCACACAACUAGGCUGGAGCAGGCUUAGAGGGCAGGAUUAGACAUAGUAAGAUCCAACAAAGGCAUAGAAAAUAUCAGAAGUGAGAUAGCAAGCCAGGCUGUAGGCUUGUGCUUCGUGUGUUACUGUCAACGCUGGCCAACUCUAUGAUUAUGGAAAAAGUAGGAAAAAAAAUCUUUAGGGAAACCUAUCUAAGUACCAGUGUGGCUUUUGUAGCAGACUGAAUUGUGGGAGGCCCUGGUGAAGACAUAUUGAGCCUUGACGUGUGAUUGUGCCUUAGCUGAGGUCUUCCCUCCCCACCUCUCUCAGCCAAAGCAGGGACUCAUUCAGGUCCCAACUCCCACAAGGUUAUCUUCAAGUACUGUUGUACAGAUGGAGGUGGGGGGCUGUUUCUCAUUUCUGCCAAAGUCACUUAAGGGACACAGAGAAGGUAGACCUGUUGCUUUUCUGGUACCUAGAAGUGGAAAGGUGGAUGGGAAGGGGGAGGUUGGUCAGAAAGCCACUAUUUGCUUCUCAUUCCCACAUGAAAAAAGAUGGCGCUGGGGGUUUACCCAUCUGUUCCUCUAUAUCUUGUCUGUGGCUGGCCUCGGCCCUUAUCUCACCACAUGCCACUCUGAAGAGAGACGGAAAUGACAAGAGUGGGCUAAACUGCUUGGACUGGGUAAAGCCACUUAUAUUGCCCGAUUAAGAACUAGGAGGUACAUGUCUUCUUAAGUCUCGUGGUAUGUCCCAUUCUUCCAGGGAAGCCAUUCCCGAAAGAGCUGGUGUGACAGAUUUGAAGUGGCUGUGCCAGCUAAUGAGUCUUUUCCUCUGAACCAUGUAGUGAUAGGCAAGGCGGGUUGACAAGGAAGUUCUUUUCAAUUCGAAGAAGCUAAGGCAGCCAUCAAGCUUUGUCUUACCAGGAAAAUGUCAGUGUAUAUUGUUGGCUGUCUGGCUUAGAAGAGGCAACUGUGAAUGAUGGCCAGAGAGAAUCACCUAACACAAUCUGGUUAUGAACACAUUUGGGUCAUGGAGCAAGAGGCUAGCCCUGGAGGCCUAAUGGAUCCACAAGAACCCGGAGAGAGAACAAAGAGGCUCAGGGUCUUAGAGGCUUCUGAUCCACACAGAGAGAGAGAUUCAGGGAAGUUAUUAGAGGUGUUCCUUCAGCUAUGGGAACCACAUUGGAAAUGCUGGUACUCCAGGGCAGUGUGUGUGCUGCUGGAUAGCAGGAAGGUUUCUGCUGAUGCCUGAGGCUUGCUCUAGCUCAUAAAUCUCCACUUCUCCUUAGCACUGUGAAGUGUUUACUCUGAACUAAGCCUCUGCUUUAACAAGCCAUGUUUCAAUAGGAAAACCUUCGUUGAUGGAGUCAAAUGCAAUUCCUCCUCCUCCUCCUCCUCCUCCACGACAGUUACCCAUUCCUAAGAAAAGCACAGCAUUUUGGCAAGCACCCAGGGCCUCAGGAACUAGCAUUUGCAGACAGUAGUGUGGCAGAUAUGAUGGCCUCAUGUGCAUCAAGGAGAAUCUGGCCUCUAUGUGCCUGGUCUUGCCAGUCCUUCAGACUCACAGUUCUGGAGUGCUCCAUCCUUCACUUCCAGCCCCAUUACCCAUAGAAGCCUUCACUGGGAACUCUCAGACUUGGUGCUGGUUCAUUCCUAAGUCUGGCCUGUUGCUGUGCUUUGGAGUUAGCCUAGCUAGUCCUACCCAGUGCUGAGGGUGUAUACACACAAACAUGUGGCAUGAUCUACCAGCCCUAAGGCAACAGUGUGUUUUCUUUACUUAAACAGUAGAGUAGGUUUCCUGUAUGUACCUAGCAGCCAGAGGUUGCUGCUGUGACCUAGAAAUGGCUGCUGCCCCAAGCUUUGAUUCACAGGUUUGUUUUUUUUUUUAAAGAUUUAUUUUUAUUUUAUGUGUAUUAGUGUUUGCCCACAUGUAUGUCUGUGUAUAACAUGCAUACAUGGAACCCACAGAAGCCCGGAAAGGGUACCAGAGCCCCUGGAACUGGAGUUACAUAUUCACAAAACCAAGAUGGUUCCUUCCAUGUGAAACCCUUCUAAGAGAAUCAUCAAAAAUUACUGUAUUUCAUUGGUGCCUACAUUUCUAGAACAGCAGGCAGAAAGGGGUGCAUUGUAGAGAAUGGUGAUAAGAUAGCUUCUGGAGAACUCUGGGGCCCCAGGCCCCAUGGAUAGAACCCUGCCAGGGAGCUUUGAAGCUGUGCGUCCCUUCAAGAUGUUCCUGGCACUAACAGGGUCCAAAGCAGCCUUCCCAGCCCCAGGCUGGGUCCUAGGAGAACCUAAUUGAUUGCAUGGGAAACCUCAGGCAUUUAUAUAUUCAUUUAUUUCUUCAUCAAACAUUCACUGAAGGUUCCUGAUGUGCUCUGAGUAGAUUAAGCACAGAAUAUAAAAUACUGAAUGGAAGUGGUCAGUGUCUGCCCUCAUGGACCUUGAAUGGAAUCGACAGAGAAAGUCAGUAAACUUGUUACCACAAACAUGCGGUUAUACAUUAAAAAUGAGGGAUGGGGGUGCAGUUCUCCAUGGUUCAGUCUGAAGCUGAGAAAUAGCUUAGGCACGUUUCAGCCUAAGAAAUCAGCCCUAGCUUGUGAAGGUGAAAGUCAGAGGAGAGCUUAGCACGUUUAAAGAUGACACCAAGAGAAUGUUACAGGAGCUGGGGCUCCUUCAGCAGAUUGACUACUCCCUGGCUUUGUGACCUGGGCCCCAGACUUGAUCACUCUAGUUUCAGUUUAUCUCUAAAUCAGAAAUGAUAGAUAGUAUUCAUCUGUCAGAAGCUGCCGUGAGGAUUAGUGAAGUUAUAUGUAUAAAGCACUCAGCAUAAUGCCUGAAAACUCUAAGUAGUAUUAGCUCAGGAUUAUUCUUUAGACUGACAGUGUGCUCGGAGUGAGCAUGUUUUCUCCUUAAACCGUAGAGUGGUGGUUCUUUUGAAAUACCCAGACGGUAAAAUCAGGACUCUCCUGUUACUCCUGCCCCUAGGACUCCUUCUGGAUUCAUGGGCAAGCUCUAGUGAGGCCUAAUACUCAGAAGAAAAGAGAAGGCUUUCUUCUACCCACGCUCAGGAUGUUGCAGAGUUUUCUAGCUUCUUUCGGCUCCAGGAGCCUGUGUCUGUCACAGAAUAGCUUGGCUCAGCCUAGAACCAGCACUCAGAGCUAUGGGAGAUCGAAGCUACCUUUUGGAGAUGAGUACAUUGUAUAUGCAUGCAUGUCCAUCAUUUGUGUACAUAUUUAUUUGUAGGGCACAGCUAAAAAUCUCCAGAAAUAUCCUGGGGAAGAUGAAAUUCUUUCUAGGCUUCAUGGUAUCCUAGUGGGGACCACCAAAGCCUCACUUCCUACCCAGAGAGUCUGAGGAUGUUAAGGUCAGCUGGUUCCAUUGUUUCCAGAGUGCUCACAGAAAUCACCAAUCUUUAUCUGAGUUAGCUUAGCCCCAAGAGCCUUCACAUGGGGUGAAGAAUGAGUUAGAAAACUAGGGGUCCCAGAGUUGGAGAGACAGACAAAACAGAGGAGAAUGGUUUGUCCUGGAACUCACAGAAGAGAGCAUCCUGCUUCUGCCUCCUAAGUGCUAGGUCUGCAUCUAAUCUACCUUCUGUCAAAGCUAGUGGGCUUCUUUCUAGCCUCCCACCUUCCCUUAACAUAAUAUAAAAGCACAUUCCUUGGAAUCCUUGGAAUCCACCCGUCCCCCAGCAUUGAGAAUAGAAUUAUAGAAUUUUUCUCUUAGGGGAUCUCUCUCUCUCUGUAUGUGUAUGUGUACGUAUACACACACAUUCUUAAUGACGUUUUCUAAAGUACUGUUGUAAAGUCUUGAAGUAAAAAUUCCACUGGUAGUGGGGCCGGAGCGAGAAGAAAAAAAAAUUUCAUUGGUGUGUUAAUCUGACAGUGCUACAUAAUAAAAGAACACACACCUAACAAACCUAUGAUGGCUAAUAUAAAACUCUUAUGUAUUAGCCAAGAAGGUCUGGCAGUUUAAAAAAAAUAUAGACCUGAAUUAAGAUCAUAGCAGGAUGCAAAAACAUAUACAACCUGGGUGAGCCUUGGGCAGACGGAGGGCUUCAUAUUCUUUUAAAGAUGGCAUGCUGCUCGGCUCAAUUCAUGUAACAUUGCUAUAAUGCCAUGUGUGGCAGUAUAUGCCUUUAAUCCCAGCCUUCGGGGGCAGAGACAGGUGAAUCUCUGAGUUUCUGUCUAGUCAGGGUGUAUAAUGAAACCUUGACUCAAAGGAACAAACAAAUUUCAGUGACGUACAGGCUAGUAAUUGCCAGGGGAUCAGGAAAGUAGGGCUGGAAAGCAUGAGGUACCAUAAAGUGGCUGUACAUAGCCCUUGAGGCCACAGAAACAUUCUGCAGUGGCACUGUACCCUAAGCUUGAUAUGUUUCUAUAGUUCUAAAUAUGUUGCUAGAGGAAACUGGUCAAAGAGUAUAGGGAAUCCCUUUGCUAUUGUUUACAGGUAUAUAUCAAUCUGUGGUUACCUUAGAAUGGAGUGCUUAAAAAGUUACAUCUCACUUAAGUCAGUAGUACACUUAAAGAUACAAAGAGGUGAAUUAAAAAAUGUAAGAGGAAGAUGGGUGGGUGGGUAAAGAGUUAAACAAUAUAGAGACUUCCUAGUUCACUUGAGCAUUGGGAACAGCGAGUUCUCCUUGUGAAUGGACGUUUUCUAUUUACCAAGGUGAUUCUUCCUUCAUCUAAAACAUCAGCACAAUAAGGAAGGUUGCACACAGGUGAGUUAUGCUAAGUCUUGUGGAAAAUGUGGCAUGUCCCAUGUUUCUGAAGAUUCUAAGAUUAUGCUCCCAUUCUGAAUAACCAUAAGGGGCUGCAUCUGCCUUGCUUCUGACACUGAUGCUAUUCAACCAGACUUCCCUCUCCACGGCCUUGCUAAGCAUGGAGAAUGUGGGUUGUAGGUGAUAAAAGGUAAGCUGAUGCCUUGUGAUGGAAAAUGCGUUUAAGGAGCACAGCAGACAACCCAUGUCGAACACCUUUCUACAUGGUUCCAUAUUAAUACGUUUCACCCCUGAACAACUCAGAAAGAAUGUUCUUUUAGUAUGAUUUUAUAGACUGAAGGUCUAGAAUGAAGGAAGUGGUGAAGCCUGGAUUAAAAUUUGGUCUAUAGCUUCAGAACCUGCUUUUUGACCAUGUAACAUUUUAGUUGCAUAUCCUGAAAUAGAAGCACCAAUCAAGGAGUUGGUGUGGCAUUCCUCCCAGCCAUGGACAAGGUUGGAAAAACGUAAUUGUCCCCGGUGGCCCUGCUGAGAAAGGGACUGAGUCCUUGCUUUACAGAUCAUGCUGUGGGGCCAUUUUUACCUGUAUAGAUUAUAAUAGCACUUUCUGGUGCACCCCCUCCUUUUGGUGACAGGAUUUAGGGGAGAGACUAGGCUUUAUGUUAAGAUUAUGGUACUUUUAAAAGUUUUUUUUUUGGGGGGGGGGAAAGGGCAAUUUCUGGGGACUGAACCCAGGGCCUCCCACAUGCUAGGUAAGUGUGCUGAACUUUACUCACAACCCAAAACACAAAGCCUCUAACUAACCCUGACCCUGAAUUACACAUUGUUCUCCUGUUUUCUCCUAAUGUGAUAAAUUGUCUCACGAUGGCCCUAAAGCAUGAUUAGAUAUGUACCCAGAUGGCUCCUGUGUCUGGCCAUAACAUACUCUUUGGAUGUUGCCUUAUGAGGGAGCCUCUAAGACAAGUUCAUGGUCCCUGAUCAUGGUUAGCUAUUGAGGACUAAGUCAGGAGUUAAGGAUGUGUGUCACUCAUAGCCAUAGCCAUGCUUAGCUCACAGGCCAGUCUGGGAGCCACUCACUAGUUGAUACAUUGUGAAUGAACACUUCAUGCCACCUGGGUUUUGAUAAUAUAUGAAGAAGCCAUGACACACAGAAGGACAUCUCAUAAAGUUAUAUAAUAACACCAGCAGGCCCAGUAUAGUUCUAAGUAGAGCCUGGAAACAGACCCAAAAUCAGGAAAUACAAUCAAGAUAGCUGUUAAAACCAGCAGAGCAAAGAUGGUAAGUUUAGUGUUGAAACAACCACAUAACUGUGGAAAAUAAAUCGGCUUUUUAACUAUUCCAAAUCCAGAUAAACAAAUAAUAACAUAAAGCAUGAAAUAAAAGAUGAUAGAAAACACGGGAGACUUCAUUAAGACAGUUACACAAUGAGCUUAUAUCCAGAUCUGAUACAAACCCCUCAAGUAACCAGACUGAAAGAACUAACUUUGUAAAAAAAAAAUAUCCAAGAAACAGUGGGAAAAAGUGUUUUUAAUGACCCAAACCAAAUGUUUUAGGUAUUUAUAAAAGAUAAAACCCUCAUGGUGGAGAGAUGGCUCAGUGAGUAAGAGGGCUUGGCAUGCAAACAUGAGGACCUGAGUUAGGAUCUCAGCUCCCAUGUCAAAAGGUGGGUGUAACUGCAUUCACGCCUGUAACAGUACCUGUUGAUAGAUAGCUAGGAGGAUUGUUGGGCCUUGCUGGCUGCCAGCUCAGGUCCAGGUUAAGGGAGAGACUCUAUCUCAGAGGAGUCAGGACACCUGAUGUCCUCCUCUGGUCACUCCAUGUGCAUGGGCUCCUGCACAGCACAUGUGUUCUCCCUACACCCCCCCACCCAUGGACACCCCCCCCCAGAUAAAAGAAAACCAAAGCUGUAGCAUACUAUGCUUUAAGGUGCAAUUAAUUUAAUUCCAAUUAACAGGCCCAUCCAUAUGUACUCUUGUUGUUGGGAUCUAGGGAAACAGGCAUAUUUGGGCAGCAUUAACAAUAGUAUAGGGUCUGUUAGGCGUUACCUACUUAAAUCCCAUUUAAAAUAGGCGGAAGAGACAUCUUAAAAUGAAUCCAUUUGAAAUAAAAAUCAAUACAUUGUGAUAAGCAGAUGAUUGGAAGGUUAUCUUGAAAAAGUGUUAAGUUAUAAAAAGAUUUGCUCAUAUAUAAUAACACUAAUGUCUGCAGAUACACACUUUUAGAAAAAUAACAAAUUGAAAACUUUUAUUUUGUAAAGCAUUAUGCAGUACCAUCUUGCAGAGAAAGGAUGUUGUUGCAGAAGUAUGGCAAGGCCUGGCUGAUUUUGAGAGGGGCUGCCCUGAAUCUUCCAUGACCUCACCAACUCUCCCUUAAAAUGCUUAUCUAGAAUUAGCCUGGCUCAUCUUUUCAAUAGAUAACUGGUCUAACUGUCUGAUUUUUCCAUGGAGAAAUUCAUCAGCAAAUCUCUUUCCAACUUGAUGAAUUCUUGUAUAAGAUUUAUAGUUUCUCUUCAUAAGUGAUUUGCUUUGUGUGUGCUUAAUGUUGUUUGGUGGACAAGAGCAGCCUAGAAGGAGCUCAGUCAACAGAGAUGCCAGCAGGGAUAACAUGGAUGGGGAUGGGGAGGCACAGCCAUGUUCAAUGGGGAGAGCAAUUUCAGAGGGAACUAAUUUCAUAAGUGGUCGGUUCAUAAGUGAAUACACUUGAAUGGAUAAUCACUAUUUUUAGCUGCUCUAUACAUUCAUCAAUAGGGGACUUGUUCCAUAAAUCAUGGCAUAAUCGGAGGCUCUGCAGCUGUUAGUAGAAAGGAUGCUUGCUGCUUGUCUGAGUAAAGCUCUAUCUUCGAAUUCAUGUCCAUUGGAGCAGAGCACCCAUGCUAAACGUGCAAAGUUUCAUUUGUCAUGGCCUCUGGGACAUAUGUCUCAGUCUCUGGCCACUGUGUGCUGUCGAACUCCUGAUUUCUGCAUUGGAUAGUAGCAUCCUUGGGAAUGUUCACUUUCUUCAUAGACUAUCCUUUGGAAGAGAGUCUGGGUCCACCAAUUUAUUAAAGGUCCCUUUAGGAAGGUAGUUUUUUAAUACCUAGUUUAGUAUUCCUAAUCCUGCACUACCAUCUACAUGACUUUGCCAGACACUGUUGAGUUUACGUGUUGACUAGAAAUGAGGCUGGUUCCAGAAAUACAGCUAACAACCUGAGGAGAAUAGUGAGCACGUUCUGUCUGGAAAAAGCCUGGCCCAGAGCAAAGGCCACAUCCCUCUUAAAACAUCCUGGAAUCCCAGCCACAAGAAAAACAGCACUGUCACCUGCUCACUUGAAUGUGCAUCUAUAAGUAAAACUGCUACUCAGAGUCGCAACAUAUCGUAACAAGCCAGUUCUGUGCAGACAUCUGCAAGACUACGGCACCUACCUGUGCAUAAGACGCACGUACAAGUAUACAAGAAUGUGUGCCACCCAUGUCCAAAGGAGGCACAGAGACAUGUAUCUUUGCUUAUAUAAAGUCUCUGGGAAGACCUAGCAGAACUAAAAACAUUUAGGAAAAGAAACUUGGGAACUAGGGUUGGGGUAGGAGAACCUUAGUUUUGUGUUUUUGUUUUUCUUUGCCAUAUUCCUUUCUGUACCCUAAUUUAUCACUGUUUGAUUUGUGUAUGUACACACAAGGAUGUGUGGUGCAUUUUUUGUGGUUUUUUUUUAAACAUAAUACUAGUAUAAAAGGUUUGCUCUGAUGUGCAGUGCAUUUUACUGUGAUGUUUGCUUUUUUAGCACAACAUUAAUACUUUACAAAAGUCUUGUUUGAACAUAGCAGGUGUAAUUCCAGAUCGGGAGCGGCUGCAGGCAGCCACAGUAUGCAUGCUGGGUGGACAGCAUGCCUGUGUGGAGCUGGGAGUCUCUGGUUCAUGUCACUCUGGAGCAGGGACUGCUCUAGCACAAAGAAGGUUUUGAAAGGCAAAGGCAGAGCCAGAGUCAGGGCAGGCUCUGGGCAGGCUCCAAGAGAGCCAGCAACCCUCUGCUGAAGGGCGCCCUGAACCCCAUUGCACAGGCGGGCAGGGCACCUCCUGUGAAGUGAGAUUGCUGCACAAGUCUCGUCAUUACAGACUUUUGAGUGGAGUGAUUCUGAAAGAAGAGAAUGAGAACAGCAUGUCCUACUGUGCCUCAUUAAAUAUGGAAGUUUUUUAUGUAACUUUCCUCCAUUUCAGGUAAUCUCUAAUUUGACGAAUGAAGAAUGACAAUAGUUCAUCUUUCAGUUCAUUUGUGCCUCUAUUGAUCUAAUUGAAUGUUUUCUAUACAAAUUUAUUUUUAAAUCUAACUUAGAUCUUAGUCUACAACCACAUUUCAUAUUGCCAAAACUGCAUUAGGGAGGGCCAAGUUAUCUUCACCAUUGAAACAGGUCUGCUCUGGAGCUAGUUUGGCUCUGUCUGUCCUGUGGAAAUGACACAAUGUUGACCUAAGAGGGGGUCCUCACUUCUCCCUACUGAGUCCCCAUGGUUGGGGAAGAAGAAGCUGUGAGCCCACCCCCCCAGACCUACCCACUCAGGACAUGCCCAUGUUGGGCUUGUCUGUGGACUCUGCCCUUGGCAUCCCUGUUGCCCACCUGGGCUCUGGCAGAGAAGUUGGGCGGGAAGAGGCCAGCCGAGUACCCGCCAGUAUAAGAGGAAACAGAGAGAAACAGCUCCAGUCAGCCCCAGAAGGGAGGCCUGGAAAAACUCUGCAGCUGGAGCAAACACAAAGGACUUUUCAGAUCCUGCAGUCAAGGUGCCCAGUGCUUUUUUUUUUUUUUUUUUUAAAUACAGCUAUUAGGGUGACAAGCCUUUCCAAAGGCCAGCAGUUGGCGAGAGUUUCCAGGAAGCUGGUCUGGCAUGGGGCUGGGAUCACAGCAACUUUUAACGAGUGAAGUUCAGAAGGAAAGAGUCAUCAGGAAAGGUUUAAGGUUCAACAAACUUUUUGAAUUAUUUUGCAAAAAAAGUUCUGGCUUUCCAAUUCAAAGGCAUGUUUCCCUGUGAUGGUUUUAAGCCAGAGCUUAUUUCAAAGGCAACACAGACUGCACGUUUCUAAUUCAUUCCCUGGAGAUAUUUGCCUAAUCCUAGAGACAAGCUUUGCAAGUGCCAUCCAGUGCCUGGAGACACUAGAGCCAUCCUACUAUCUUUUCAAACAGCCAUCCACCCACGUGUCUCUCCCCUCUACCAGUUUCUGUGGUUGGGAGUACACACAUGCACACACCUUCUCUAAGCAGGAAGCUGCUCUUUGCCAAAAGUGAAUGGAAUUCAGAUUUCCAGAGGGUAUCCUUGGUCUCAAGCUCCAACAGCCAUCUGACUGAAGAAAGAUGCUAGUGUGCGCGCUGGGGCUGUGAAGAGAGGGGCUUCCGUGUCCAUUCAAAUCUUUCUGGGCCCCAAGAAAAACCAACAACUGGCUGUGCUCUCCCUAGCCCCACCCAGCCUCAGUAACAUUCCUUCCCUUCCUGAGCCCACCCUGGGUGGCCCCACAAACCAGCUUCCACUCCUCCCUUCCCACCAGUGGGGAGACCUAACUCAUGUACUCAUCGAACAGCCAACAGUGAAAAUGAAGGUCACACUGCAAGCCCAAAACAGCUUAAAAGCAGAGAAGGGUCCUCCCCGAUGUCUGUUCUCACCCCAGUCAGAGGCUAUUCCCUUAUUAUCUGUCUAGCAGCCCCUAGGACUAAGUGUUCAUACCUUCCUGUGCUUGCUUCCAGGAAAUCCUAGCCUACUUCUGCCUGUAACAUUCUUGGUCCGGGAAAUGAAGAGGCUGCUGUUUGGGCUGCUGUAGCCUUCGCUACUAGAACGUUCCAACAUAACAGGGAUAUCUAUCCCUACCUAAGCCUUCCAAGCCCCAGGAUCCAGCAUCCCCUGGAGUUGUACAUUUAUACAUGCUGACCAUGUAUAAAUAAUAAUGAGUCACAGUAGGGGUCAGCAGUGACAAGGUAGACUGGCUGGUCCUAAGCCUAAGUUUCUGGGAUUUGUACUUGUCCAGCCAGGGAGGGAACAUGUGGAGAACCGUCUGCAGCUGUCAGAAUGAAUGAGUGACUAUGGUGGACAUUUUGGUUCUGUGCUCAGCAAGUCCUGAUACCUAGGGCAGAGACUUGGCUCAAAGGCUGCAAAUCAAAUCCUUUGAGUUCGAAUGAGACUAUUUUCAAUGCCAUAGUCUCCUGGAAGCAGGAUUAUUUCUCCUGAGAUCAGUUCUGGAGGCGAUUGAGGCUUUGCCAUCUGGGCAUUGCUCUCUCACCUGGUUCUGGUUGCUACAAGGUGCUCAGCUUGUCUAAUUACAGUUGACUGUCUCUACUGUCUAUGGCUCUAAGGCCCAGUCUGAUCCUCUUGCUUGGUCAAAAGUAGUGUUGUCCUAGUGGAUUUUCCGGGUGUUCUGUAAAGUGUUAUUAUGGUUUUACUGGCCAGCGUUACUUUCUUUCCUUGACCAGUCUCAGGUCUCAUCUGUAAGUAUCUGCAUCAUACCUCAAGUCUACCAACUUCUUCCUGGCAGAGUCUGUAGUGGGCUUGUCCUCAUCACCUUGGAAGGAUCUUCCUGUUCCAGUCCUAGGUUUUGAGUGUGCUACUUAAGAAAAUGCCCCAGGUAGCUAGCAGUAAUGCAGCCAUUUGAUCUAGCCCUGCUGGAGGUGACUCACAGAACCCCAUACAGAGGAGAUAGGUUCCAUCAGUAAAACAGAACAUAGGGGUAAGAAUUGGGCCCGCUUUCUGGCUCUGGUCAUGCCAUUAGGUGGCCUUAUACUCUCUUAUCUCUGAUUGACUUCCAUUCUCUUGUCUUUACAUUAUAUGACACCUCCAAAGAUGUUGUGACCCAAACCCAGAUCACAUGGUCUCCUGAGAUCCUGUGAUGGGGCCAUUGCCCAUUGUUGAGACAGUCUGGUAAAGAAAAGCCUGGUAGCAUGGAGUAUACAGAGCCUUAGGGAAGAAUAACUGUUUGUUUGAGACAGGUCUCAUUUAGCUCAGUUUGUUCUCAAACUCAUUGUCACUGAGGAUGACUUUGAACUUCUCAUCUUGUCUGCAGCUCCUGAGUGCUGGGAUUACAGAUAUAUACAACUAGACCUAGUUUAUGCAGUGCUGGGGGUCAAACCCAGGGCUUCAUAAAUGAUAAGCCAGCAGCUCUCUAACUGCUAAACCACAUCCCCAGAGGGAAGAAUAUCUUCAGUGAAGCCCUGAGCCUCUGGGGUGGACUGCUUUACCCCUCCCCCUGUGCACAUAGCAUGCUAAGUUCAGUCAAGCCUGGAGCCUUUUGUCAAGCAUUGCUCCACUGAAGGUCGCCCAUGCUGUGCCUCCCCCNNNNNNNNNNNNNNNNNNNNNNNNNNNNNNNNNNNCUGGUAGAGUUCAUAGGGUAGGUUUUUGUUUUCUGAAAAAGACUAUUUCAGUGUUUUGGAUCAGCAGAGUUUCAAUUUAAUUUAACAAUUUUAAGCUCAGUGGUGGCGGCACAUGCCUUUAAUUCUAGCCUUUUAAACUGCCAAGAGGCAGAGGCAGGCAGGUUUCUGAGGCCAGCCUGCUCUACAAAGUGAGUGUUCUAGGACAGCCAAGGCUAUAAAGAGAAACCUUGCCUCUAAAAAACAAACAAACAAACAAACAAACAAACAAACAAACUCCAUAUCCAAACCUGAGGGAAAUAAAAGUCUGGCUACCUCCAAAGGAGGUAGACUUAGGCAAGAGAAAAAGAUCUUGGAGCAGAGGGCAGGGUGUUGGCUCACACAUAUGGUGUAAGUGUAGUCAAGGCCAGGGCAAGGGGACAGGCCCAGAACAAAUGAGCACUUUAAGUCCCAGUAUGACCUUCACCCUACCAUUUUCACCUCAGGUACAGAGACCAGCUGCCUAGGAAAUUAAUGGUGGGGCCCAGAGGACAGCUGCUUAGUGCUACCUACUUCAAUGAACCUAGUUCUGUUGGGGCAGCAAGUUUAGGCCCUAAAGCAGGAUAGGUGGAUUCACGUAGGUAAGAACCCUGCCUGAGAGUAUGUGUUUGUAGAGCGCUCUAUGUUCUCUAAGCCUCAUCUUUCACCCUUCUUACCUGCCUACAACCCCACAACCUAAAUACCUCCUAACUACCUUGCAAAUGCAGCCUCAUUGCUGCCUCAGUUCUCCAGUACCACAAGCCACUGUUAGGACAGAGUUAUACUUGGAGUUUGAUUUUAUAUGAGGGCUUACAAGCCAGAGUCCUCAGAGAAAAGCCAGGUAGAAUAAAAAAUAUCCCUGAAAACAUCUUGAAUUACACCCUUCCCCAGUAAUCUCUCUCAGAGCCCUCUGAUCUCUUGUUUCUAAGUUGUUCUCAUGCCCCCAAAGAAGAAGAAGAAGCUCUCAGGGGACCUGCCAAUUGUCUCUGGACUUCUGGGGCUGUAGCUAUAUGUGUGAUGAGAUUACUUAGGCAGAAUAUCUAAGCAGAUGGUGAGGCCAGGAUUAUGGAGCUAGAGAUGCUUGGCUGAGUAGAGACUUAGACUAGACCCCUAUCUACUUCCCCCCAUUCUCUUCCAUGUUUCCAAGAUGUCACCCAGGUCACCCAUGGAUCCAGCCAUGGGCUUAUCGUCAGACCUCUGCUAACCAGUCAUUGCUUUUGCCAAGGACACCUGAACUAUCCCAAAAGGAAUACAAAUAUAGGCAUAAAUACUGAGUCGGAGGCUUCGGAGCGCCAUGAGAAGCUUAAGAGGAAAGAACACCCUAGUUCCGAGUCUCUGAGAUCUAGAGAUGCCAGCAUGGCCUGGAAGCCAGUGAAGGCUCCUGGCUUCCUUAUGUGGCAAUGUCAAUCAUGGUAUACUUAACAGUCUGAAUUCACAGAAUUCUGAUGGCAGAAGGUGAUCAGAUGACCAGUGCCCAAACCCACCAUGGACUGUUCAACUCUACCAAUGGUCAUAAACUCUCACGUAUUACUAAGAGUGCCAGCUUACUACUUACUCUCAGGACUUCAACCUGACCUUCACAAAAGGAGACAUAGGCCCCCAGUGACAGUGUGUCCCAGAAUGAACCUGGCCAUUCCAGUAUUUCUUGUGUGAAUAGUAGCAAGUUUCUGCCCUUUCUGAAUCUUUAGCUUCCCCUUUUGUGAAGCCGAACACUGACCCACUAAGUUCUCCAGCUUACACAGAUAUACAUUAUGUAUAUCAGCUAACUAUACUAUCACCAACUCUAGCACCAGAAGUGCAGCACAGGCUAGCACUGAAAAGCUAGUUUGUAAAUACUGUGGCUACAUUUGGGUGUAUCUUUUCAACAGAGAACCUUCCUAUCACUUGCAGGGCCAAAGGAAGGCAGGAUAUAAAACUUACCCCUCUCCUUAGUCUGUCUGAAGGUAGGUGCUUUGAGUAAGCAAGUCAGCCCAAUGAUGAUGGGACCAAAUAUUGAAGCACACAGAGGCACCUUUAACUGCCAAAGGCACAGUCCUUGGAUCCCAUGUCCGACUUCCUCAUCAGAGUUAUGGGUGCUAGUCUUCUGCUUGUACCUCUAUUUAUAGGAGUCCAAACAGCUCACAAGCCCCUUCCCCAGCUACUUCAGGCUUUAGUCAGGACUUGUAGCCUUCCCCUGCUGCUACAUAUUCCAGAUCAUCCCAGAGCUCAGUCCUCUUAAGUCUGAUUUUAUCCUGUUUAGGACGGCACUUGGGAUGCAGCCUGACCCAUUUGUAGCCCAUGGAAAUCAUUACCUGGCAGUUUUUAAAGCUGUCAGGUCAGAUAAGCAAAACCUUAUGGGGUCUCCAGUCACAAAGGGAUACUUUGUACUUUCUCAAGUAGUUCCCCAAGUCAGGUAUAUGACUGGAUACCUGUCCACAUUUGCUAAAAUGUAUAUACCAACAGAGGAAGAUACAUUCUAGAUGUGUUAAUACACAAAGAGAACUGUAGCUCAUAGACAUUAAGAAAACUGCUUUAGGGUCCUGUGAGCAGGAUUGGAUGACCCAAGCCUGCUAGGGUUUCCUGAAAGACAGGGUCCGUAGCCACUGUGAGCCCACAGCAAAUGCAAACUUCCCAGGGCUUCCUGGAAGACACUGUUCUUAGCUAUUGCGAGCCCACACCAGACCAUAAGCAUAUGCAGAAAACUACAGUAAGAGGAAAGGAAGGUGACCGAAAUGGCUGGAGAACCAAUCAGGCCAUUGUUCUGCAGAGCCCUCAUAGGGCCAUCACAAAGGACAUUUUCCUAGAAACUGAUGCAUAUAUAUUGAAGCAAAGGCCUUACAGAGCCAGCCAAGCCAGCCAUGAGGAAGAACUGUGGGAGCCUGCAUACCCCAGCCCUCAGGUCCCUCUGGUAAACAGCAAUGAUAAUGAAAGGGUAACACUGGCCAAAGAGAACAACCUGAAAGCUGACCAGUUGAACAGAGGACAGUCCAGAGGUGAACCAUAUGCCAACAGUGAGCUGAUUUAUAGUGACACUGAUAUGGCAGGGCAGUGGGAGAAGGAUGGUGCUGUAUCAGACUGGAUGUCCAAGUGGAGGAAAAAGCUUAUCUUGACCUUGACUUCACACAGGACCCAAAAAUGGAUUCCAGAUGGACUGCAGAUCUACAUGUGAAAGGUGAGCUUUUAAAGCUUUAGAACAAACCAGAAUAUCUUUAUGACCUUGGAGUAGUCAAAGUUUCUUAAGUAGGACAUAAACAGCACUAUCCAGAGAGGAAAUGUUUGAUUAACUGGACCAUGUUAAAAUUAAGACCGUCUGUUCAUCAAAAGACACCAAGAGGGGGCAGGACAGUCCGCAAGCAGGGCAGUAUUUACAAUACAUGUAUCUGUGUAUCUGACAAAUGACUCACACUUAAGAACACCCAGGACAGAGAGAGAUAAACUUGUGCCUGAAGAAGAACAGCUCUCAGUAUAGGAUAUAGAUGUCUUACAGAGAUCUAUAAAGAAAUGAGAAUAUAGAAUGGGGCUUAGCUCAUUGCAAAUUACAGAUGCCAUUUUGAUGUUAUGAGAAGCCAGAAUGGCUAAAAAGGAAAUAGUGAAAAAUUCCAAGUGUGUGUGAGGAUGUGGAAAAAAGUGGAAUAUUCACAUGCUGCCAAGCAGGGGUAAAAGUUGGGGUGACUGCCAUGGGAAGCAGCUGAUCCCUCAAUGACCCAGCACUUCUAGGCAUACAAUUAGCAGAGAUAGCCAUAACUUUUACCAGACACAUAUAGGUAGAUUAUUCUUAAUAACUCACUACUCAGAUCUGCCCAGUGGUCAUGGGUAGUAGAAUGAAAGAGCAAAUCACAGGCCACUCAGAGCAGAGUGUCAACAAUCAAAAGGCUCCUGAGACCACUGUUUUCUUCAGCCUCACCGGGAGGGGUGGGUGGUUCUCAGACAUCAGAGUGAAUGAAAGUCCAGGUACAUGUGUGUGCUGUAUGCGACCUAGCCAUGUAGAUUUCAAACACGGGCAAAGAUGGCUGUUGCUGCUGGGAAGUGAGCUUAUGGUUUGUUCUUGGUGUGUCCAUGAUAGGAAAUGGGAUCUAGGGGACUUCCUGGGGAUAUUGCUUUCUUUGGAUGCUUGGCUCUCAGGUAGGGAGAAUGCAUUAAGUUUGUACUGGAAAUCUGUAUACGUUACUCUUUUGAUGUGUUCCCUUUCUACUAUAAGUAAGUUUGUAACCCAAUGCCCUAUAUAAGACAGUAUUUUCUGAGCUUUACUAGAGACACAACUCGGUACAAGCCCAGAGGGACUGGCCUUGCCGCCUGACUACCACCUUGUUUAGAAGGAUAUAUUACUCCAGUACCCUGACCAGACCACCAGCAGUCCCUACUGUUCAGUUUCCACCUCCAGCUCUAGGCAAAGCAAACAGAAGAUGUGUUUGAGGAGCUCUCUCUGUUAUUCAGAGUACCUUUCUUUUAUGGAAUCAGUGUAGUAUGUACUGUCACACUACUCUCCCUGGCCUCUCUGUCUCCCUCAGAACAAUUCUAGGAGGUUGCUGCAUCCCUUUUCAUGUGCUUAGAUGGAAGAAGUGAAACUAGGGAAGGUUAGGGGCACUGGGGGCUGCCUAUAGCUGGGCCAGUGCAGGCUGGGAGCCAGAUUGAGGGCAUUCGAUUCCCAGUCCCUUUCCCACUGAGCCACUCCGCCUCGCUUUUAAUUUAAUUAGGAGAACAUUUAAUCCCCCGUGCAUUUCAGAGACGGGUUUGAGCCUGGCUGGGGCCUUGUGGGGCUCUGACAGGGAUCCUGUGACUCAUACAGCCUUGCACAGCCCUCCCGGGAGGGCUCCCAUGGGGCUUCUUUGGCACCUUGAGCAGACAGAGGUGGUCUGGAUAUUCACAGAAGACAGGACACUAGUCUGGAAAGACAAACUGGUCUCAUCUGUUCUUGACAAGCCCCCUUCCCUAUCCUCCUGGACACUGCCCCCAACAUGGCCCCUCCAUCUUCUUCCAUCAUCAUUUGCAGGUUGAGAAGCCAAGUAAGAGAAAUGGGUGCUCACUGAGGUGCCAUAGCAGGCCCUGAUUGUCUCCAGGCCCUGAAUAUCCCAGGCCAAGCAGUCCCAUCAGAAGAGCUAGCCCCCUGGUCCACUAAUGCUCCCCUUCCAGAAGGCAUAGGCUGGCCCCAGCCUCGCUGACAAACGCAGAAUUCAGGAGACAUUAGUAGUGAUGUGGAUGAAAGCCAGGCCACAGCGGGCCUCCCUGGAAAAGAGAAACUCGACCGUCUUGGCGUGAGAUUCUGCAGGGUCCAGGAGAAAGUUGAAGACAUGGAAAUUCUAAUUAACGCACAAGGGGCUGGUUUUGCUCAAAGAUUUUUGAAGCUGUCAUGUCAAAAGAGGCCCGGCAAGCACAUGCUCGCCCGGGAGGUGCUUGUGGGCACCUGGUGGGAUUCUUGCAAUGUCCUAGCCUGUAUUCUUACUUUCCCUCUGUCCUCUAGACUUUCCUCCACCCAUCUUGGUAAACUGGUGGCCCCUGAAUGUCAUCCCAGAGUGGGAUGACAGGCUGGUUAGUAAAUAAAUGUUGAGGCUUCCAGUUGAAAAUGUCACAACAAAAUGUCAGAGGGCUCAGGAACCAACCUCUUGGAAGAAACCUUUAGGGAAACUACAUGGCAGAACCAGGCUGAGCUAUAGGCUGCUGUGCUUAUGGUAGAGUUGGCAUUUGGAGAUGUUCAUCUUAGAUAUCCUUGUGCAACGGUUGGGGGAAUGGCUUCAGACAAGUUCUGAUUGAUUUAUCAGCUGGAGGGUGGGGUGAAGUGGCUGUAGGAGAAGCUCACUGAGGUCAAACCCAGACAUGCUUCUUUAGCGUGCUCAUGUCCUGGACCCUAUGUAUGUCUCAGCAUCUAUGGGACGUACCUGGAGACCUUGCUUCAUUUCAGGCAAGGCUAAUGAUGAUGUGCUUUCUGUGUCAGAGUAGGACUGGCAGUCUUAGGGUUCUUUCACCCUGGAAUUUUGGGGAGUGCUGGAAAAAGAGUGGCCAUGAGCAACCACAACACUCUGCUGCUUGCCUGACCCAGGCUAGAAUCAGGGAGCUUUGAUGAUAGCCUCAAGAGGAUGCGAGAGGCAUUCCUGGGGAAAGGGAGGACUGAGUAGACACUGGAAAGAUGUGCAAUUCUGAUGGCUACAGGACCAACAAGGACAUUCCAGCUGGUGGGAUACAUAUGAGCCCUUGCCAGUUAACUCCAGUAAGCAGAAUCCUGGAGACUUGCCCUAUUCGUUGUAAAGAUACUCCCCAUCUCUCGUGGCAGUGGGUCUCUAUUUCCUGCGUGGCCCUUAGAAGUCUGGAGCAAGGCUUUAGGUAGAGGAUUCAUGUUGAGGGAGAUUGAGGAGUACAGGGCUCCCUUCCAAUGAUGUUAGAACCAGGAAGACAGCAUCUGACUGAAAUAUGUAUGCAACACUGAGGCCCAGCUGCCCAGAGCUGGAUGAGGCCUGGGGCUUACUUGAGGAGCUGCUGGUACGUGCCUGUUGAGCUGGGGUCAGAGAAGCUAUAUUGUCUUCUCAGCAUCCUUCUCUGAUUACCUCUCUGGUUUUCAAUAGGCCUGCACCUUGGCCUCUCUGUCCCCCAAACUAUCAGUGGCCAACAGUCUCUGAAAAGAGGAGCUUCACCCAGCCCCAGGGACCUUCCCAUAAUCAAGGCUACAGUGACCUCACCUCCCUAAGGGCCCCUGGGCGGGGAGAGCUUGAGAUGGAAACAAAAUGUGUCUUUAUUUAUGCUUUUAAUUUGAAUUCUGGAACUGGCCCAGCAUGGUAAUACAUUUAACAUCAGUAAAAUACUGAAGAAAAAUGGAUCUGUUUUUCUGCAACUGCUUCCCACCCACUCUGCCCCCUGCAAGACCCUAGUACACAUCUCUGUCCCUGGUAGACACGUACGAGGGUGUGUGCCUCUUUUUUUGGUGUAGGUUCAUAGGGCCAGCUGCCCACAGGAGCCAUGCUGCAUCAGGGAGCUGCUGGAGCCUAGCUUAAUUACAGACAUCAAUCAACAGGCUGACUGUGCAAGAGGCAAAGGAAUGUAGCCCUGGUGUGGGCACGUGGGCCCCUUACACAGUACCCACGAUGGCCUAUCUGCUCCCCUAGAAUGUGGAGGGGUCUUGAUAAGGCCAGUAGUCCUGGGAGCACAUCGGGUUCUAGGACCCAGACACACACCAGGCCUAUGGUCAUGCUCUCUGCUAGGACUUCCACCAAGGAUGGCACUAGACUUCUACAGAUGUGGGUGUCUAGAUUCUCAGAUGCCUCAACCCUGACCCCAACUCUGCUUUGACCAGAUUAUAUUUUUUGCUUAAGCCUAUGAUCUCUCUCGGUCUCUACCUUAGGUCUUUUAACUCAGCCCCACCAUGGGCUCCUCCUUUCCUCCUUUCCCACCUUCCUAGAUUGGCUUGUUCCCAGCUGCUGCAUUUGGAAUAAAUUGGCCUAGAAAGGGUCUUGGUGUGUUCUUGGGUAGAGACUUGACUGGAUAAAGACUGUCCACCUACUCAGGUUCCAGGAGUGCUGGCCUGAGAAGAGCCGUGGUACCUGGAAAGAUGGUGACUCAGUAGACCUAUAGAGACCAAGAAAGCAUCAUUCAUGUCUCUGAGGCUCUGUUUCCUCAGAGUGGAGAUCAGAUUUGGCCUAGUACUCAGAGCAGUGUUGUCUUAGUGGCUUAGGGCUGCUUCUAGAACAGAUAGACAGUGAAUGUCUGGCUCCAGGAGCUUUGAGUAUACUAAUACCAGCACAGGUGGCCUUUUGCCCCCCAAAAGUGUGGCUAUAGGGCAUCUAUGGACUGAACUAUGGUCAUGUAUCACCCUCCCUUGGGACCUCGUUGGUGCUCACAGUAGUUAGGAGAUGUGAGACAUGUCUGUCCAUCUGGGUAGAUGGUUUGUUGAGAGCACUACUCUCUCGUUGUAGCUGCUUCUGUGUCUGGAGGUUGCUCCAUGACCAGAAGAAUAAAAUGGAAUGAAUACCAAUGAGAGGUGAGUGAUCAGGGGUAUAAGAAGGCUGACUGGUCUUUCUAGGCUUAGGCAAUUCCCUGAGGCCUGCUAUGGUUGCCAUGGUGCUACUUACUAUCCUUACUCCUAAGCAGGCACUGGCAUAUCCAACACCAGCCACAAGACACCAGUGUUUACACUUUGAGUUUUCUUGAGCCUUGGACUUGAUGGAGAGACUUAACUAUAGUGUAAGCUAUUUUUCUACCCUCUGACGCCAGCCUCUACCUGCCUAGCCUGUCUGGACUCCUGCUCCCACACCUUUGUUUCCGCUUGCUAAUUCAGCCAGCCUGUAAGGCUAUCUUAGGAGGGAGAGUGACCCCUGCUUCUCAAUAACAUUCUCACUCUCUCUACACCCACGAACCCUCUCUAAGUCUUACAAACCAUGAGGCACUGCUAACCUCCUUUAAGUUUGGGUGGCCUGGGAAGAUAGUGGGCAUGCCUUGUUUGAUCAUAAUCAUUCUUCUGACAAGCCUGCCUUCCCCCAGGGUGGCCUCAACUUGGCUAUCUGGUUACUUAAGAAACCCUCGGCACUGUGAGUCCAAGUUUCUUCAGUCAUUGUAAAGUCAAGCCUGAAAUCUAGGCAUAGGCCAGAAGUGUUAUGACUACACAAGGUUAAGGACAAGAAUUUUAGUAGAAAGAGUGAAAGAGUCUCAGAAUGCGAAUCUUAGGAGAACUAAGAGUAUGGCAUUAACAUCCUGACACUUUUCUAGAGGAGUACCCAGUGGGGCAGUGGUCAGAAGGGGUCUGAGUGAUCUGCCUCCACCACAUCGCUGCCUCUACUGAGUUUUGGUAGGAACAUUUGAGUCACAUGUUGCAGAGAAAUCAUGGCAUGGCUGGGUACUGGGGUUUGUCCUAGUGAUGCCUUGAUGGGGGCCCAAAUGAGGGGAGAAGAUGGGCAUGUGUCCCAGGCCAGCUGUGCCUCGGGGGAAGGCCAACUGGAAGGCAUAGAAAAUCAGCCAUUUCCUCCACCUGAAGGAGCCCCUGAGGACAGUAGUGGCAACUGGCAGGCAGCACCAGGCAUCUGCCCUAUGGCUUUGGCCAAAAUCCCACAGGGAAAUGCUAAAAAAUAAUGUUAACUCUCUUGAAGGAGUGGUGGAGGGGCAUAGGGGAGGAAAAACAACAACAACAACAACAACAAAAACCAACCCAAGUUUCUCAGACGCUCAAAGCAUGCAAACAAGUGGAAAAUGAUCAAUCUGGUUUUCCAUAAGUCAAGACAAGAGGAUCAUGUUUCCAGAUUCAGUGGGAAAGCCCCUGCCCUUCUCUCCUGCCUGAGCCCUGAGGCCAGCCCCAGCAGCCAGUGUCCCCAGGUUCAUAAGGAUAGGCAGUGAGUUGUGGGUACUGGGUAAAUAGACUGCAUCCCAGCCAGAGGAUAAGCUUUGCCCUAUGCCAGGGCAGUUCCCUUGAGCCCCAGCCUGUGAGGGCAAAUGGACACUCACUGUGACACAUGGGUGAUGGGGGUCAGCAGUGUCUCCCCUUCCAGGUCCAGGUCCUCUGCAAAGCUGUUUGUUCUCAAGAAAUGGGGUGUGCUUACUUCCAGCAGUGUAGGGCUCUUCCUUACUGUGAAGAAGGUAUGGGGACAGCUCAUUAGGCUUCAAUAGAAACUUGAUCAUGAAGGGGAUCCAGAACUGGACAGAACUAGACUCAAAUGUCCACCUCAACCUGCUAUUGCUAUGGGAUAAACCUGUAAGCUCUCAAGAUCAGGUGAAGAGUGAGGACAGAGCUUGGAAGUUUUAGCCUUAUCCAUCAGGUUGGUUUACACUGAGUGGAAUAAGUGAGUGGGCAUUCACUUAUUCCAUUCACUUAUGCCCAUUCACUUAUUGAUUGGUCCCCAGGUGCCUGGGGUCUCAGCCUCCCAGGGUAAACCAUAAAGGCUGGUACAUUCUCCCCAGUGUUGUAACUGCCCUGGGGCUGAGUUCCAGAACUGAGUAAGGUUCUGCCCUAUAUAUGUUAAGUUCUAGGCCUCUCACCAGCUUCACAUAAAACAUUUGUGCAAAGAAGAAAUGAAAGCACUGAUCUCCAGUACUGUGCUAUUCACACACAUACACUGACAGAUCAGUGGACCAUGCAAAAAAGGGUGCUAGUACCUCUGCCUAUCAGGAAUCACAAGCUGAAUUCCUUGUUCUGGUCACGAUGCCUUAUUAACCGGGUUCUCUUUGAGGGAGGCCUCCAGACUGUCCCAAGAGCUGACUUCCAUAGCUCAGGGGACUGAUCCAGAUUAGUCUUCACAGCAUUUCCAGCUUACGAGUGUUUGCUCUCAACUCACUUCUCCUUUAAAGUAUCUAAUAUAGAAGUAUUAAGUACUUCUGAUGAGUGGAAUAUUGAAAAAUUCAGAGUGGUCCUCAAAUACAGGAAUCCUCUGCCGGCCGGGACCCUGGCUUUUCUGGUAGCACAAAUGUGAGGUCAUAAACUUGGACAGACUUCUGUUCUUGUCAGUUUUUCUUACUCUGCGACAUUCUUUUCUUCAGGUAUGCAGCUAUGCAUCUAAUGAUCAUUUUAGCAGCACAUGAGCCCAUAGCUUAGGUCUACCACAAUUAACUUUACUCAUCCCAUAUUUUAUGGAUGUUCAGUCUUGUAGUUUUAUGACAACCAGACAGUGAUGUAAUAUCCAUCUUUAUUGUUAAAAGUUGUUGACAUACUGGGCAGGUGAGAUGGCAUGACUUUGGUAAUAUUAAUAAGUGCUUUUGGAUUGUUCUUCUGUUAAGUUGUAGCCAACUAUUCCUCCCCUUCAAUUUUGCUUGGCCUUUCAAGCAUGGAUAAACACUGAGGUUUUCUCAUUUUCAAAAUUGUUAUUAGUUCUUUGAGACUAUGAUCAAUGAACUUUGAUCCUCAACCACUUCCUAACUUCCCAAUUUUGUAUCCUCUUGUUUUAAAAUUCAAUAAUUCAUCAACUUCAGUUUGUGCUCUCCAUGUAAUUCUGGGUGUGGGGCUGUAAUACUGCAGUAUGAUUGACCCACCAGGAGUUAGAAUGUUAAGGAAAAACUCUCCUUUCCCAGGAGCCAUUAAUUGUCCAUAGCUUUUCAAGAACCUCUUGGGGUUCGUGAACUUCUUGUACUCAAUGAUACAGUGUUGACUGGCUUGAUCUUGUGUAGGCAAUCAUGCAACUGUCCUGUCAUACCCAGAAGUUACUUUCUUCCAGUUGUCGCCUAUCUCUGGCUCUUACAGUCUUCCCAUCCCCUUUUAUAAUGGUCCUGGGCCUGUGAGAGGGGAUGGUUUUCUCAUUUUCAUAUUCACUGACUGCUUCUGGCUUGUUUGGGAUUCUUCUUGCAGAAUUGCCCAUUAAUAACCUUUGCUUGGCAUUUCAAAGGAACUUUUAAUUCAUUAGAGAUAAUAACCUUGUGUUACAUGAAGCAUAAUUAACUUUCUUAGUCUAUGUUUGGCUUUUUAACACUCCACUGUUUUAUCAUAAAGACUGUCUUGUUUUUUUACAGUGAUACAUUUACUUUAUGGAAUGGAUUUCUCACAUCUACUACAGCAGUCUUACAUUUAUUUCCAAUAUAAACAUACAAAUGUGGGCAUACAUCUGUAUGUGUGUAUAAAUUUUAACACAUUUAGCAUUUAUGUGUAAUGCAAAGGAUGUUUAGAAGUCAUACAAUGAAAUUCAAGAACACUAUAUAUAGUCUUUUUAAAAAUCUGAAAUAUAACAUAAAACUAAAAAAAAACCAUUAAGAAAACUUUAAAAUCUCUAAGACUUUAGAUUUGAAAGUGAAUUGAGAUGCAACACCGAAAACUUAAUCCAAAGUGGGGGAGGGGAAUCAACUUUAUUAUAAUUAGAAACAAAUGAGUUAUUCCUGCAACAAGUGCAUUUUGCUAAGUAGCAACAGAAGCAAGGAGAAACAGGCUUACUGACUGUUAAAAUGCUGUGCUUUGUGAAGACAAUGAGACAAAUCACAGAUUUACUGCAUAUCACUUAGUGGAAUCAAGGGCUUUGUACCCAGAGUAUAUAAAGAAGAAUGAUCAUAAUUUGACAACAGUGAAGCAAACAGCCCAUCUUAAAAAGUGGAUUACAAAUAAGCAUGGGAAAUUGUGCUCAGCAACAGUCUAUGGUCUUUAUGGAAAUACAAUAUUAAAGCUUCAGUGAGAUAACCCUGAAAAUUAUCAUGAAGAUGGAUAAAGCAUUAAAUUAAAACCUUGUAACAGCCAGCACUUCAAGGAGGCAGAAUGACUGCAACCCUCAUGUGCCCAAGGUAGGAAUGAAAAGUGGCCCAACUGCUCUGAAGAACAAACUUCAUAGUCUUAUAAACACACAUGAUUUAUGACUCAGUGUAUGGGAUAUUUAAGUUCACAUAAAUCUGCACACAAAGAUAUAUAGCAAUUUUACCUCUAGGUGCAACAAACAAGCUAUAACCAAGAUGUCAACAAUUAAAUGAAUAAAGAAAUCAUGGUGUAUCUAUCUGUUCCAUCUAUGCAGUGGAAUAAUGUCCAGCAAUCAACUAGAAUAUUGGAGGAUCCUGGGACAGAUAAUAGACUAUGGUGAGUAGACUGUGUGUUGUGAAUACAUGAUAGAGCACUGAAAAGAGAAGCUGGGGUCUGGGGAAGGAGGAACUUGCUAACGUUGCUUUAAAAUAUAAUGUUUGGACUAAAGAAAAACUAGAGAAAAAAUACUGACAUAAACACAAUAUUCUUGUAGAUAAUUUUGUUUCAUACAGGGGUACUGUAUAUCAAGGAUUAUACAAACCAGUAUCUAUACUAGAAAAUGGGAGCUGAGGACAAAGUAAGGAUAAUCAGAAACAGUAUAAACAGUAUAAACUCGAGGUAAGCUGCAUAAAGAUACAAACCCUGAAACAUGGAUGUAUAUAGACUUUAGUUAUAGACAUACAUAUUUCCUAGUUCUUUCUAUCUGCAGAAAGGAUAUGUAAACAGUGACCCUUUUGUGGCAAAGAACACACUCCAUGGCCAGAUCAUAUUUUCUAACAUUGUUAGUUCACCAAUAAAAGCGAAUAUGGUUCCUUGGAAGAAUGGCCGCUUCUGGGGCUAGCACAGGGAAACUACAAGAUGAACCUAAAAGGAAAUAAAUGGAAAGCAUGUCUAAAGGGCUCCUGUACAAGUGGCUAGAGUAGAAAAAGUUUAGCAACAAAACAAUAAUCCUCAGCUAUACACCAAAAACACAGUUGCCAAGUCUGUCCAUAUUUCUAAACAACUGAAAGUGAGAUGAAGGACUUUCUAAAAAAGUGAUCUCUGUAAGUGUAGAAGGAACGAGUUAACCAGAAGUGCACCAUAGAAAUGCUUGCUUCAAGAAAGAUCCAUGGAUGAAGGCUAGAAUGAGUAGGUGAAAUCUUAAUUUUUUCCAGUGACAUUGAUUGAAUCCAGGGCCUUGUUCAUGCUAGACAAGCAUUCUGCCACUAAGCUACAUCCUUAGUCCCAAAAUAAAUUUUAAUUGCUUUAGUGAUUUUAACACAUUCACAGAGUCUCUAAUACUCUUUUGCAAGAGAUAGAAUGAAAUUCCUCAUUCUCCGAAUGUUGGCUAGACCUGGUGACUUGCUUUUAAUAACUAGAUCUGAUAAAGGUGAAAUAGUGGGUCAAUUACAGUGAGCUAUUUAAUCAUGUAAAGUUGACACCAUGUUGAUGGAAGAAAAUGAGAAAAGCACCUUGCCUUAAUGACAUUUACGACACCUGUAACCCUAUUCUAAUUUUGAGAAAAUUUUAUACAGACCGAGAGUAGCACUGACAUUUGAUAAGUAUUCAAAAGCAUCAACUCCAGUGACAGUACUGAGAAGCUGCUAUAGGUCACAGGACACUAAGGUCCUGCUGAAUGAGCGUGAUGGUAGAUAUUGGACAGGCUCUUGGAGCAUCAAACUGGGAGAAGGACUAAACUGUAGCUCUACAGUGUUGUAUGAAAUUAAACUUGUUUUAGUUUUUAUCAAAGUAACAUGGUUAUGUAAGGUACUGCCAUGAAAGGUACAUUGCAAGACUAUUUUUUCUUUUACAAGAAUAUGUAAUAUAUGCAAAUAAAACAUACAUAAAUUAAAAGGGAAAAGAAGCAGAAUAGUAGAAAAGAAUCUCUAGUGUAUAAAGAUAGAUUAAAAACUAUUAAGAAAAGCACAAAACUUUAAUCAGAGACACCGACAAACAGAAAACUGCCUUUAUUGCAUUGACAAAACACUCAAAAAAUGUAUUUGGAAGUGUAAAAGACCAGGAAAAAGUAAUAUUCUUUAAGAACAGGGUGGCUAAUAGGCUUAUCAAACACAAGUACUUCAACAUAGUAGUCAUUAAUACAAUGUGGAACUGAUUCAAGGAGAGACUUAACUGGCUAGUGGGAUAGAACUGGAUGUCAGAAAAUAGGCCUACACAUGGACACUUGCAAUGUAUUAAAGGCUUACUUAUCAUGAGAUAGCCUUUUAAAUGACACAUUCAAGGACAAGGAAAUUCACAUGGGGAAAACACUGAACUGGGCCCUUAAUUUUCUCACAGCGUACAUUGAAAAUGCAUUCUUGGCAUUUCAGGGCUUAUGACAAGUAGAACUAGAAGGACCAUAGGCCUGGAUAUAGAAGAAUAUCUACAUUGCUUUGGGGUAGGAUAACUAAGAAGCAAUAAUCAAAAAGAAAAAUAGCAAUUUAGCCACAUUCAGAGUCAAAACCUAGAUAUCUGAAUACAUUUUAAAUAGUAAAAAGGGAUUCAAAAAUGAUAAAACAUAUAAAAAGUUUGAUAAAUCAGUAAAAACAAAUAGAUAAGUCUGGCGGCACAGGUCUGUAAUCGUAGCUACCUAGGAAGCUGAGGAAGGAGAAAUAUUAUGUUCAGAACCUUGCCGGGACAACAAUGAGUCAGGAUAACUCUCAAAGAGCAAAAUGAGGGCUAGAGAUGGCUCAGUGGUAGUGUCUUCCUACUAGGUAUAAGACCUUAGGUUUAAUUCUCUAGCACUGAAAAAAAAUGACCUAACCGAAAAAUAAGCAAGACACCCUACACCCACCCCCUUCAAAAUGAGACAAGAAUUCAAAAGCCUGAUGAGCUUAUGGAAAGGUGUUGUGCCUGACUAGCAAUCAGGGAAAUAUAAAUAAACUCAGGAGCUCAUGGCCCAUGGGGCCAGCAGCAGACUUCCAGCAGGAAACUAUACAGACAUUACUUAGUCAUAGCUGGAAGAAGGGCUCAAGUAAAGGGCUCUAUGCCUGUGACAUCCUCAGAGAGACCAGGGAAAGACCUGUAAACUUUGAGGAAUGUGUGCACAUGAAGAGGCCCACAGGUCUGGGUCGUGGUGGGAGUAUGUUACUGUUCCCAUUCUAGAGAGUCAGGGCUGAGAUUCAAGUGUACUGGGUUAUAUUAUACACUUGUCAAGUCACAGCUACAACUUCAUCCAGGAUUCAAAUGUUCUUUUGGAAAAAGAAAAAGAAAAAGAACACAAAAACAUAUUUCAGUGCUUGCAUCACUUGUAUACACAAGAAAGGAGAAGCAAAGAGGUGACUGGAAGAGGGGGCUGUGUUCUACACACCCAGAAUGACAAGUGCCAUCUCCAAGCCUGAGGGCCCAGGGUGAGCCCCUCAACUCCUGAGAAAGGCUCUGUCCUGGUAUUAGGAAAUUAAAAUGUGCACAUCAGUUGGCUGUCCACAGCGGGCGGGGCCUGCACCUGCCAGAGAGGAAUGUGGACUCUUUGGUUUAAUCCUGGGAAGGGUUCAUGGGGCCCCUGCAGUGAGGGUCAGAGAGGGGCUCAGCACAGUUGUUUUUCCAAGUCAAAAGGAGAGACUGUUGUCUGCUAGGCAUGUCUCAGAGACUUUAGGGGUGCUUCUCUUUCAUGGGAGAAACACUAUUCAGGACUGCCACCCACUUUACAUUUGGAUCUGUACUCACAGCCAGGUCAGACAUCUCAAAGAUUCUGGAAGGGAGUUGAGAGGGCAGGGUUUCAACUUAUACACACUGGUGGUGCUCCUCUUAGGCAAGAGCUUGGGGCAAGUAUUAUGUUCUAAGAAGCCCCAUUGGGCACUUCAUCUCUGAAGAGCCCAGGGUUUGUCUUUCAUAAAGAUAUGAAAAGAUAGCCCAACUGCAGAACAAACUAUGAGACCAUGGUGAAUGUGACAAGGGUCAUAUGACCACUUAGAACCUGUAUAGAGAAUACUAGAGCAAUGUCAGGUGCUCUCUGCUGAACCAGCCAAUGUCAGUGGACCUGGUCCUGGAGGAAAAGUACUGUCUCCUAGUGGCAGUGAAGUCACAUUUUCCUAAAAUGAUUCUAGGUUUUGAUGCUUUCAUUCCUUGGCUGCUUCUGUCUUGUCAGAGCCAGAAUCUGGACCUAAGUGUGCAGGGCAGAACAAAACAAUUUUGUUUUCUAGGAAAAUGGGAGGUCUGGAAUGGCUAAUGUAGCCUCAGGCGUGGCAACUGCCCCAGCUGGAACUACCCACUGCCAAAUUUCACCCUGAGAGAACCAAAACCAGACUGUAUGCAGCAUCUUCCUUCUCAGCCAAAGGGCCUACUCAUUAGGGUGAUUUGCAUUUUACUUAAGCAUUGAAAAAAAAAAAAAAAAAAAGACUGGAAGGAAAUAGAUCAAAAUGUGAUAUGUUUGCCCGUGGAUUAAAGGACUUCAAAUGAUUUUCAUUUCCUUCCUUAUAGUAUAUAUAUUUUCUAUUUGAAUGAAUGAUAAAUUUAGAAGUCAGAAAAACAUUAGUUCAUACAAGCCUCCUGUAUUUGCCUUGCCCUCAUCAUCCUGGUAUCUAAGUAUCUAAGUGUCCUUACUCAGCCACUUCCUCCAGUCUGUCCUUAAGAUGCCCAAGAGACCCAAUGACACAGAGCUCCUUCUUCCCAGGCUCUCCAAGACCUUCCCUUUCCUAGCUCCAUUACUCCUGCGUUGAGCUCCCAGACUUUCCCUCUGCAUAGCCGAUCAUCUGAGCAUUCCAAGUCCAACUCUCUGCAAGGCCCCAGGCUACCCUGUUGCCCACUGCCCUCUGCUGAGACUUGCUGGUGUCAGUAACUUCACCCAGCUGCUCACCCCUGCCCUCCUCCUCCUAACUUAUUAUAAUCCUGCCUGAUCUCCCAGAUGUAACCUAAACCACCUUCCUCCAUAAGCUCCCCAAGGCUCUAGAGAUUGCCCCUUCAAUUGCUAUGGGGCUUAUGUGUGCCUGGCCCUCAGCACAGGAACCUUGCUUUCUUCCUCUCCCAUGUCACCUCCGGUGCCUGGCACAGGCAAGUCCCCAAGCCAGCUCACUCCAAUGGAAUAAACAAGCUGCCUAUGUCCUCCCCUAACAGAGGCCCUUUCCCUAUCCCCCCUCAAUCAAUUUCCCCGUCUUGGUGGAUUUGCCAAAGCCCUGUGGAUCCUGCACCAUGAAGGAAAAAAACCCUCCCUAGGGCAUCUGGACAGCUGCAGCCAGGUCCUGUGUGACAUUGCUGAGCUGCAGCCCCACAGCCUGUGCCAGCUGCCCAUGCCCUGUUCACAGACCCUGAGCCAGACCAGACCCACCACCACCUGUGUCUUCACUCAGAGGGGAGAAGUAAGAGACAAGGACAGAAAGUGUAAAAGCUAUUCCCACAACAGCUGCCAGGAACAAGGCGAGAGUGCAGUGUAAAUGUAUAUUCACAGCUGGUACCCAGUUCCGCUUAGGAAAAUACCUUGCUUGAGUGGACACCUGUUGUUUUUGCGAACUCUGCAACCAGGCCUGGCUUCUGGAAAUAGUUCACCAAAUCUUCCUUAGAGGGGUCCUCAUUUCCUACUCCCCAGUGUGUAAGAUUUAGGAAUUCAUUGACUAUUUCCAAAGGGGGCUUUGUGGCUGGAUCGCAACUUCAGAAACAGUUGCACUUAAAAAGAUGGCUUGUACUUUGGUUGGGAGCAUUGAGAACCUAGCCUGAGCCUGUGGCAGAAAUCAUUUGGAAAAAGUCUGGCAUCUUUCUCUUGGUACAUGUAAACUAGUGGACAUCUUACAUUUAUUGGAAAGUGAGUGUUUAAGGACACAGAUGAGUAUAGCUAUGCAUGUAUCUAUAGGCAGAGAGAGGGAAAGAGCACAGAAAGGACAGGGUAGAAGGGGAAGGAGAGAAAGCAUCACCAGACUAGCUCCAGCUGUGUCUGGAACAGCCAGGUUCAGAUUCAUAAACUAGAAAAAUGUCCCAUUGCCUUAUCUAGAUUGAAAUGGACUCUGCAGUUUGUUACCAAGAGCACUUAGGAGUAUAAAAAGCUAGGGGUAAGAUAUGAGCCUGAGGAGAUAGGUCUAGGGGUAAGUCUAGUUUGCAAAACACAGCAAACAAACAACAACAAACACCCUAAGACAGUCUUGUUAAACUUUGCAGGAUAGAAGACAGGAAAGAAGAAGGUUAGCUAGAAAAAUCUGGCCCGAGGCCCCAGCUUCAGCUCUACAUGGGCCAGGAAACUCUGGGAAAGGUGCUUCGUACAGCUGUCCACUGACUUUCUACUGUUAUAAUGCAAACUUCUCUUUAGAGAGCUUCUCUCUCUACCCUGUGUUUGCAGCACUUUAUGGAACAUGCUGUAUUUUGUGUUCAAGCAAAGACUGAGGAUACAUUUAACUUGAGAUGGACGGUGACAUGACAGUUGAAGAUGACCUAUGGAAUCCCAAGAAAUCCUAGGAACAAUGCUAGGCUUUGUGCAACUACAGAGUUCAUAGUGCUGGACACUUUUUACUGAAUGCCUUUUCUUAUAAUGGAGAUAACAGGCCUAACACAUAAAUCUCAGAGUAAAUGGAAAUGGUUCUGUGGGCCCAAGGGUGGGGUCUGAAUGGUAAGGUGCUAAAGAGGACAGGCAAUGACAGAGCUAGCCCUAAACAAGCCCAGGAAGCAGAGCGUGAGUAGCACAGCUGCCUGCAGAACAAAAUUAGUCUACCCAGCUUUCCAUGCUGCAAGAAGUCACUGUCCAGGUCUCCCAAGACACAUUUGGAAGGGAAGGUUCCAGGCAGUAAGAGCGGCCCCAGGAAACUUUAAUAUACAAUGGAAUCUGGGUUAAGCACUAUCUUCUCCAAAAGUUGAGCUCACAGGACAUUCCCCAGAAACCUCUGGAGAGGUGGGGAGGAAAGUUUCUGGAGGUCUUUUUGGACGAAGAAAACAAAAAAGUGGCCUUGAUUUUUCAAGGAGAAAUUACACAGGAAGAAAAAAAUGUUUUUAAUCUAAUUAAGAGCGAUCUUUUCACCUUCAUCACAACAUCACGGAAAUGUGCCAGUUCUUAACUUCACACAAUAAUCAAAGCAAUUAAGGAGAAGCCUUGGAAACUGGUGCAGAUGUUCUCAGAAUGUUUAAUGGGGAAAUGAGUUGCAGGCCUCAUUCUCAGCAUCCGGCUCCAGGCCCUGGCUACCAAAUCCAGACAUCUGCUGGGGCCCCACUCCCAGGCCUGGAGGGUGUGUGCUUGAGAAACACAGGUCUCUUCCCAGGCUGCCUCUAGCAAGGCCAGAUCUGGGGCCCCAGAGGCUCCCCAUGGUUCCUCAAGCCAGAGCCUGGACAUAGUCAGAAUCACCCCAGAGCUAGGGAGAAGCUUAAUGUCAAAAUUAUGUUAACAACUGAUGUCAAAAGUAAUCAACUCAAACUGGCUCCCUCACCCCUGCUGGCUGCAGGAGGACUAUGAGUAGAGGAAGGGAGGGCAAAGAGCCCCUGGCAGGGGCUGGGAGAGACUCUCUUCUUUGACCUCCUCAGCAUGAAGAUCACAUAAAGGUGUGGCAGCAUUGGUGCAAGUCAGACUCUGUGUGCUUUGGUUCAAUGUUGCCAACUAGACCCGAGAAGCAAACUAGUCCAUCCUUGAGUAAUUUUCAAAAAUCAGAGACCAUGUAGAAAGGAGGGUGUUGCUCACUUAGUAACUAGCCUAUUUUAGAGAGCAGAAGGGCAUAUGACUAAAGUUAAAUGGCUUGAAAGUGAAGACCUUGAUGUAUGGUUCAGGCAGCUCAUUAAACCACACUGGAAGCCCCGCUGUAUGGUACACACAAAGAUCAUGGAAGAAAAGAAAACAUCCCUGGUUUUGAGGACACAUAGGCAGUAUGGGUCCUCACACAUGUAUGACGUUUAGCAUUCAUACUGUCUUCAUACCAAAGGCUUCUUAAUAAAAGAAAUACCAGAUUUGACUCCAGGGCUUUGUUUAACUGCAUGCAGGGUAGGCCAAAGGCAAUGGAAAGAAAUCUCUCAAAGUAAGCCUUCAGUGGCAGUCAAUACUCCAGGUCCACAUUACUGGUAGAUCUUUAAGGAGUGUUGUAAGCUGAAUUCCAGCUGUUCACUAACUAGACCACUUUCUUGGGAAGUGGCUGGAACAAGUUUCUUGUUAUUCUCUGUCCAUAAAUCUAGCCCAAGAAAAUGUGAUAGGAAGGGGUUAAAGCCUUUAAGAAUGAAAGUAACAUGAUAUACUUUUUAUCAAAAGAAUUUUUGGGAUUGCUAUGUAUAGGAUGUAGCAAAGGAAAGCCAGGGAGACUUGGGAGGCCAGUGAAGAAUGAAAGGGACAUCAAAACAAACAGACAAACCCCUAAACAAACAUGGUGGCAUUAGCAGGGGAAGAAGCUAUAGAGACCAGGAGUGGGAAAAGUCUAUAUGUGAAAAAGCAUAAUUUUAAAGAUUUCCAGGAAUGUUUGGAGAAUAACAACAUUCUACUCUCCCACUCCCACCCCUGGACUUCAAAUCUCCUCACUUAUUCUAAAACUCAGAACAAGCAAUUCAACAACAGUAAGAGCAAAAUAAAACCAUAUAUGAUCUAUUCCUUCAACAGUAGGCCAAAUACAUAGAAAUUACCCAUGAGAGGAGAGUCUGCCCACCAUUGUAUACCUGUGAGUGCAAAAGGUCAGAAGAGGCCUAGGAUGUUCUGUCAAAAGAGUGAGGAUGCUAAGUAGUGUCAACAAAAAUAAGGUCCCCUCUCCGCAGAAAUAUUUUUAUAGGAACUAAGAAUGUCAGUAAUUAAUUCUGGGAGGCAGUCAGUAAUUCACAGCAACCAAGUGAAUAUCACAAAAAGAAACGGCCAAUUAAAAAGUGUUAGGGGCCCAGCAAGAUGAUUCAGUGGAUAAAGAUGCUUGUUGCCAAGACUAACAACUUUAAUUCAACCACUGGAAAAAACCCAUUUGGUAGAGGAAAGAACAAGUUUCUGUAAAAAAAUCACAGGAACUUGUGACAUUUUCAUUUGUCCUUAAAUACUCAUCUUCCCUCUACUAAGCCUGGUUUGGUGGCACUGUUGAAGAUGAUAGGUAGUAUGGAUCCUGGUCCUUGUUUCUGAAGUACGCAAUACAGACCUUGUCUAAAAUAAUUAUUUUUGUUUAAAAUAUUUUUUUGUUUUAUAUUGUUUGUGGGUAGCCUGAAAGACUGACUUAAGGUGUUUUCAUUUUCCCCCCAAAUAUUAAUUGUGAAUUUUCUCAGUGUGAAAAAUAGUGGACAGUACUUGCAAAUGCUGUAAGACCUUCAGAGCAGUUAUAAUGACUUGAGCAAAGAUCAGUGGUUGAAGCACACAGCAGCCCACUGAAAAGCCUCAGAAGGCAAUCUAGAGAGAGCUUCCUUGGAAUUUAGAGCAUUUAAAAUAAUAGUAUGUGCUAAUACCUUACAAAACAUGCACAGAGCUAGAUGCUAAGAAGAGCCCUGACAAUACUACAAACCAGUAUCUAUGAUAGAUUUCUAUACUUACCUCAAGCUACAAGUGAAAGCAAAGACAGGAUUGUUAAUAGUCUGUCCAAAUAUUGAAGGAAAAUUCCAGUUUAGUUAAUUUGCAAAAGCUGGACGAAUCCUGCCCUCCUUUUAUAUCUCACUGUCAUAAUGAACUGAACAUAAAUGAAAGGAACAGAACUUCAAAGACCACACAUAACUUCACAAAAAAUAGCUUGGGAAUAAAAAAAAUAGCUUAAAACCACUUAAAUAGCAUUAAAAAAUCUGGAGGCAGAAAAGAAUCUAAUGUCCACAGUUAUAAUAUAAAUAAUUGAAAAUAUAGAGCUUUAAACAAAGAAAAUAUGGACUAUACAGAGAAACACUAACAAAGUUCCUUCCCACAGAAGGCUGAAAGAAGCAUAGACACACUGUACUUGACAAAAAAAUAAUUUUUAAUUAGGCUAGGAAUGUUUCAGCUGAUUCCCUUGAAACUUUUAAUAUUGGGAGGGACAAAAGCCAUUUUGAGAACAAACAAUAGUGGUUUUCACCAAGGGUUUACCUUCAGGGAAAGUUAGCUUACUAGGUCCUAGCCAGCUAGGGUUUAUCACAACCUAACUGAACUGACCUAAAGCAAUUCAAAUUAACUCUAGAUUUCUUGUGGAGUAGAAAUUAUCCAAACACCAGACCAGUUCACUUUAGCCAUCCUAUACCACCCAAGAAAAAAUAUUGAAGAAUGGUUGUGACAUUCACUCAAGAGGCUCAGUAAAAAUGAGACCUAAACACAGGACUAUAGAAUGUUUCUUAUAUACUAAACCUUUCUGUAUUGUUAAUAAUGCCCAUUCAAUAGAAUUUCCUUUUGUCUGAUACAUCAUAUCCGCUGUCCACCUACUGAAAAAAAUACAAGGCAUCUAAAAGACAUUAACUUUUGAAAACAUAGCAGACAUUUCAGAUGUGUUGAAAUUAUCACAGAUAUUAGAACUAUAAAGCUAAGGACAACAUCCAAGGACAAUAGCAAGGAAGGAACCAAAGUCAUAGGGAAAACACAAAAAGGGCUGGGAACCAGCAAUAUCAAUGUAUGAAAAAUACCCUCUGUAGACUCAUUUGAUUGUACACAGAUGAGAGAAAAAUCAGAGUAUCUUUUUGUACAAACAACCAAAACUAAAAGACAAAAAAUGAGCAAAACAUUGAGAAUUUGGCUGAGUUGGUUAAGUGCCUGUCUUGUAUACAUAGGACCUGAGUUUGGCUCCUAAUUUAAAAAGUUAUCUAGUUAUCUCCAUUCCUGGGGCAGCAUUAGAAGACAUGUCAACCCCUAAAAAUACUAGAAAUAGUCAUAUAGAAGCCAAAACCAAAAUAAAACAAAAAUAAAAAACAACAAGAAACCAUUUGAAACAACAGGAACUAAAAGUUUCCCCUAAAUUAUUAUCAUACAUUAAACAGUCCAGGAAGCUGAAGAAUACCAAACAGGAUUAAUAACAAAACUUGCAUCUAAACAUAUCAUUAUCUACAGAAAAUCAAACAUUUAAAAAGCCCUACAGGAACACCUACUAUAAAAUAGCAAUAGUACAAACUACAUCCAAUCUGUCCUCAGAAACUAUAUAAGCAAGAAGAGUGAAAUAACAGAACAAAACAAAUCGCUAUAUAUCGUUCUGCACUCUGGAAUUGUCUUAAGAUUGGCCAGUUAGGUAAGAUUUUGUUGAAGACAUCUAACAAUGUGUUUAAUUAUGUUUAUGUAUACUUAAUUGAAAUGAAUGGUACCAGUGAUUUAUAGAGGAGUUAAUGGUUACUUUAGGUCAUACAAUGUAUGAAUUGGUAUAGUAUGAUUUGAAAGAGGGCUUAAUUAGUUGAAAAUGUAUACAAGAUCCAGAGAAAUCACCCCAAAAUAAUGCUAGUAAACAAAUUUUUCCAAAAACAGUAUGGCAAAUAUAUAGCAAAACAAGUUUGUAGUUACAGGUUGUAUCUUAGUAGCCUCCUGGGUCCAUUGUACCAGAAUCCCACAUAUAAUCUCAUUUUUACAGUAGAUUUCAGAUUGGGAAAUCUGUUUUUGCAUAGUCAUUGUUAUGUAAUAAGUAUCUUCACCCCAUUUUGUGGCAAUGCUAGUAGAGGAAAGUGAAUUGCUGCUGAGCUAUAUCUCAAGACUCUACCAUACCUUUCUAAUUGCACAGGCUCUAAUGCCAUCACACCUAAAAGAAGCUCUGAAUUAAAUACAAUAUAGUUCUUUACUCGUAGGUAUUACCUAAGAGACUUAAAGUGGUUUUUGAGCAGGCUAAAACCAACCAGCCACCACUACCACAACAAAAGAUAUCUGCUAACAAGCCAUCAGAUAGGAUAUAUCUGGUAGUAUUCCUGUUGUUGCCAUUGAUAGAAAAAGAUAUCUCUCCCAGAACAUGAGAAAUAUGAGAAACAAAUUAGGGUAGGAUAAGGAAGGGAGAGUUGCUAUAUUUUCUUCUUGUUUGGGAGAGAUAGCUAUUUGUCAAAAGAAACCAACAUAAUACUAGAUAGAAACAUACCUCUCAGGAAUUAUAACCUUUGUAAAGAGAAAAUUGGAAUAGGAAGGUAUGUUAACUUUCUGCAGCACAACUCUGUUUAGGUGAAAUGCCUGUUUGUCUUACCUGGCUUCUUGUAAAAGUAUGGCAGAGAAUAUGGCCCAUGAUAAUCUGAUCUCAAAGUUCCUAUCAAAGUAAGAUCUGCUUAUUCUCUAUAACCCUGAGGAUGAAGCCAUUUCAGAUAAAGAUGAGCAAAGGGUUACUAUGCUUUGAAGAGAAAUUACAGUAUUCAAAGAGAUCUUUAAGCCCAGUCAUUGGAUUUACUAGACACAUACUUGAGUUAAAUAUAUUGGUAAACAUAAUAAAAAUAUAAGCUACAGACUAGGACAAAACAUUUAAAAAAUAUAUAAGGAGCUUCCCAAAACUUAAUAGGGCUGGGAAUGUAGCCUCACGACAAUAGAGUACUUGUCUAAAAUGAAUAAAACUUAAAAUUCUAUCCUCAUAAAUUGAAAAAAACAUGUGUAUGACUGAAUUUUGCUUUCUGAUUUGAAAAACACCCAAACAAUAUGAAGUUAAAUGAAUGGCAACUUUACCAAUAUGCAUCAGUUUUGCAGGAGAAACACCUCCAUUUAGCAUAGAUGUUAAGGACCCACAUCUUAAAUCCAAUCUCUAGAAGCACAAUGUUGAUGAAAGAAAGCCAGGCUUCCAAAGAACAACAUCCCAUGCCUGAGUCAGUUUAGUAAAAUCUACAAAACUGGCCAAUGCAAAAUGAUCUCUAUUGUGACGGAUAAAAAGACAAUGAAGAACAAGCAAUGGUAAGAUUAUGUUAGAUCAUCAAUUUGAGUACAUUGAUGAGAACUUCAAAACUAUCUAAGAAUGUGCAGUGAGGGGGUAUCUUUUUGCCAUAUUCUCAAAUGAAAAAGCUUUAAAAAUGAAACAGUUUAAACAUCUUAUUCCUUGAGGAUCUAAAAGAUUCUAAGGUGUCAUUGUUCACUGAAACAAAAAAGAUGGUAAUCACAUGGAAAUGUCUUUUGUAAGAGGUUAAUAUACAGGGUCCUCUUAGUUUUCACAAAGGUAGGAUUUAUGAAAAGAUGGGCAGGAUGAUAAACUUGUUUUCCUGAUAGUCUUUCUUUUCCAGACUUAACAGGCAUAUGAGGAAGAAUGGUACACUGAGGCUAGGUAUAAGAAGAUAAUACAGAAAGCACCAUGCUUGGAUGGAUUUACUGAUAAAUUCUGACAAAUCUCAACUAUUUAAUGGAAAAAUGUAUACUAAAGUUUCUACAGUGUAUUUUAGAAGGUAGGAAAUAUUGCUUAACUCAUUUGUUGAGACCAACAUUGCCCUAAUUUCUGUAGCAAACAACACAUUCCAAACAAGCUAAAUACCAGUUACUCAUGCUGUAUGUGUAAAACAAUAUACUACACAACAUUAAUAUGCCAAAUCAAAAAAGAUCACAACUGCUCAGUGCUGUGGGACAUUAAAAACUAAGGUAAGUUAUCACAAGCAAAAAUAAGUCACAGGAUUAUGUCACCAGACAGAAAUAUACAUCCGACAAAAAUCUUGAGCAACUCAUGGUAAAAACAACAACUUUGGAACAUUAAGCCUCAGGUAAGUAAUCAUAAGAAGUAAAAAGAACUUUUAUGAUUAUAUCACUGUAUAAAUGUGAAUCUGUCAAAAUUGUUUACUAACACAUGAUUUAAAAAGGACCCUUGGAACAUUUACAAAUCAGGUAAGUAAUCACAAGAAGAAAAAAAAUGUUACAUGACAUGAUUUCUGGAUACAAUAAUUCAUCUAGCAACAUUCUUUACUAACUCAUGAUGUUUAAAAAGCCCUUUGGAACAUUAAAAAGUCCGGUAAGUAAUCACAAGAAGCAAAAAGAGGCUACAUGAUUAUAUUAUUGAAAUGCAUCUGGAAAAAUUCUAUAUCAAUUUUUAAAAAGCCCUCUAGAUUAUUAAAACCUCAGGUAAGUAAACACAAGAAGCAAAAAGAUGUUACAUGAUUAUAUCACUAGACAAAGAAAUUGACAACAUUCUUUACCAACUCAUGAUCAAAACAAAACAACAAAGAGCAUUAAAAUCUCAGGUAAAUAAUAAGAAGCCAAAAGAAGUUACAUGAUUAUUCACUGGAUACAAUUACCAACUCAUAAUAAAAGUAACAACAUCCAACAACAACUCUGCACAUUAAAAACUCAGGAUAGGGUUCACAAGAUCCAAGAAGCAAAAUAACAAAAAACAAAAAAAACUGAUAACAUUAUUCACUAACUCAUGAUUAAAACAAAACAAACAAGAAAACUUCUGGAACAUUAAAUACUCUAGUAAGUAAUCACAAGAAGUAAAAAUAUCACUGGACACAAAAGUGCACCUGAGAAAAUUCUUUAUAAACUCAUGAUUUAAAAUAAAGAAAAAGAAAAGAAAACCAAACAACUCGGGAUCAUUAAAAACUCAGGUAAGUGAUCAUAAGAAACACGAAGCAAGAAAUAAGUUACAGAAAUCUGACAACAUUCUUUACCAAUAAUGCAAAACAAAAACAAAAUAAGCACACACCAAACCCUCUAGAAUAUUAAAAACUUAGGUAACUGAUCACAAGACACAUGAAGCAAAAAAGAUAUUACAUGAUUAUUUCACUACACACAGAAACCUGACAACAUUCUUUACCAACUCAUAAUAACAAAACAGAAAAAAAGCAUACAUAAGACAUCUGGAACAUCAAGAACUCAGGUAAAUGAUGACAAGAAGCAAAAGGAAGUUACAUGAUGAUAUCACUGGACACAAAAAUGCAUCUAACAAAAUUCCCUAUCAACUCAAGAUAAAGGAAAGAAAAGAAACACCUAAAAACUCUGGAACAUUAAAAACUUAGGUACAUGAUCACAAGACACAAGCAAAAAAAAAAAAAAAAUUACAUGAUUUCACUGACACAAAAAUGCACCUGAAAAAAAUUCCUCAUCAACUCAAGAUGAAAGACGAGAAAAACCUAACAACUCUGAAACAUUAAAAACAGGUAAGUGAUCACAAGACACACACACACACACACACACACACACACACACACCCCACAGGAAGUUACAUGAUUAUUUCAGUAGACACAGAAACCUGAUAUACCUUAUCAACUUAAGAUAAAAAACAGAAACAAAGCAAACACAGAAACCUUCUGGAACAUUAAAAACUAUGGUAAGUAAUCAAAAGACACACACACACAAAAGAAGUUACAUGAUUAUUUCACUAGACACAGAAACAUAACAACAUUGUUUACCAUCUCAUAAUACAAAACAAAAUAAACACAAAUCCUCUGGAAUAUUAUAAAAACUCAUGUAAGUGACCACAAGAAGCUUAAAGAAGUUACAUGAUUAUAUCAUUGGACACAUGCAUGCAUCUCAUGAUUUUUUAUCAACUCAUGGAUUUAAAAAAAAAACCCAACAACUCUGGAACAUAAAAAACAAAAAGUUACAUGAUUAUUUCACUAGACACAGAAAUCUGACAUUUACCAACUCAUAAUAUAAAACAGAAGCAAGGGCUAGAAAGAUGGUUCAGUGGUUAAGAGCACUGACUGCUCUUCUAGAGGUCCUGAGUUCAAUUCCCAGCAACCACAUAGUAGUUAUAUAACCAUCUAUAAUCCGACGCUCUCUCCUGAUGUGUCUGAAGAGAACAACAGUAUACUGAUAUACAUAAAAUAAAUCUUUUAAAAAACAAGCAAAUUACAGAAACCCUCUGGAAACUUAAAAAGGUGUUCACAAGACAUAAAUAGGCAAAAUGAAGUUACAUGAUUAUUUCACUAGACACAGAAACCUGACAACAUUAUAAACUCACAAAAUAGAAACAAAACAAAAACAAAACUCUGGAACAUUAAAAAUCUCAGGUAAGUAAUCACAAGAAGCAAAAAAAAAAAAAAGUUACAUAAUUACUACUGGAUACAAGCAUGUAUCAAACAAAAAUUUUUUUAUCAACUCAUAUCAAAAGAAACCUCAAGAACAUUGGAAUAUUAAAAACUUAGAUAAGUGAUCACAAGACCCAAGAAGAAAUAAAGAAGUUACAUGAUUAUUUCACUAGACACAGAAGUCUGACAACAUUCUUUACCAUCCCAUAAUACAAAACAGAAAAAAAAGGCCACACAAACCCUUGGAACAUUAAAAACUGGUAAGUGAUCAGAAGAGACAAGAAACAGAAAAGAAAUUACAUGAUUAUUUCACUACAUACAGAAACCUGACAACAUGCUUUAUGAACUCAUAAUACAAAGCAAAACAAGCACACACAAAACAUCUGGAAUAUUAAAAACUCAGAUGAGUGAUCACAAGAAGCAAAAGGAAAUUACAUGAUUAUAUCACUGGACACAAAAGUGCAUCUGACAAAAUUCCCUAUCCAACACAAAAAGAAAUCAGUAAACACUAGAAAGACAUCAUUAAGUUUGUAAACACUAUUUACCAAAAGUAUAUACCAAACAUAAUUGACAGGAAAAAAAAAAAGGGCAAGGAUGGUGCCUACUCAUUUUUCAAAAUCUUAUGGAAAACUCCUAAGUAAUGGACCAAAAUAAAGGGAAUAUAUAUUUUGUUUAAAAGGAGCAACGUUUUGUUUUAGGUGGCAUUAUUGAUGUAGAAAAUAUGAAAGGACACAUAUACAAAUUCUGCAACUAUUAAGGGACCACAGCAAGGUUACAUGACUCAAAAUAUACAAUAAUCAGUUACUUUCCUUUAUGCCACAAGUUAACGAGUGGAAUUUGGAACAAAGUACAUUAUUGCAUUGGCAUCACCAAACUAAACAGAUAAAAAUAUGUACAGUAUAUUUUCAAUAUUAAAUAUAUUGAAAAAUUCAAUAUUACCAGAUGUCCAAUAACCCAUGCUGAUCCCCACAUUAAAUGCAACCUUAAGCAAACACAAAUGUUUUAUCAGUAUUGGAAAAUGGACUCUAAGGCUUCUGUGGAGGAAAAAGAUAGAAUAUGAAACAUAAUAUUAAAGGAUAAUUUAAAAUUAACCCAUUUUAAUGCAUUGCUGUAAAGCUUUGGCUAUCCAGAAACUAUAUUACUUGUAAAAGAAUAGGUAAGUAAAGAUGAAAGGAAAAGAAAGUAGCAUGUCAAAAUACAAUCUUCUAAGUUCACUCAACUAAUCUGUAGUAAGGAAAUAAAAAUAAGAAUGGAGAAAAAUGUUCUUUUUUUUUUUUUCAACAAAUGGUGAUAAAAUGAUAGCCACAUGGAAAAUGUAAGAAUCUAGAUACAGACUUUAUACCCAAUAAAUAAGUUGAGAAUGGAUGACAGACAUCAAUGAAGAACACAUUGUAAAAGUAGAAAAUAUCUUCACAUAAUACAGACCUAAAAAAAUUCCAAACCUUGCACUGAAGUACUAAGUCAUUUUGCAUUUGUAGUUUCAUAUUAAGAAAAAAAAAAACAUGUUAAACUGUUGCCGUCUCUAUUCAACAUGAUGGUGAAUGGUUUAACUGGAUCAAAUGGAAUAGCUGGACAAAUAUAACACAUGUAAAUUGGAAAGGAAGUAAUAAACAAUAUUCCUCAUAAGAUUUUAUAUGGUAAAUUCAGCAGUGCAAAAGAAUAUCAGUAUACAAGUGUCAUUUCUAUACAUCAAAAUUGAUAUUUAAGAGUACCAUUGACAUAGUUUCAUUUGAGGCAACACUAUGGUAUCCACUGCUUUGAUCGCCAGGCUACCUCGUAAUUUUUCUUGAUUUCAUAGCUGAUAAAUCUGAAAAACUAUAUUGUUUUGCCCUUAAUACAAUAGGAACCACUGCAUCCAACCAAGUCUUGAUUCUUGCACUUAAAUAGGUCUUAGCUCAUUCAGACCAGUUUGUAAAUACAAUGUAUGUAUGCCAAAAUUAUGGAACACUGUCGCAACAUGAGAAAUACUAAAAACCCAAAGAGAGCCGGGAAGAUAUCCAUUUGGUAAAGCAUUUGGCAAAAUGCUUUUAAAGCAUGAGGAUCUGAGGGUGAGCCCUGGAAAUCAUGUGCAAAUGUCAUGUAUAUUGGAUGUUUGCAGUCACAGUGCUGGAGUGGAAGGAAGAGAAUCCAGAGUUUAGUGAUUUGCCAGUCUGGCCUAUUUGGUGACCCACGUCGAGACUAUCUCAAUGGAGGUGGAUAGCAUUUCUAGUGGAGGCUGUCCUCUGACUUAGAACAUAUGAAUAUGCACAAACAUGCACCUACAUAUAUAUCUUUGUAUAUAAAAGAACAAGGCCAUUAUCAAAGAAAUACAAGACAUGUUCCAGUAACUGACUCCAAAAAAACCAGGCACAUUAACUUAGUGACAAUUUAAAAUGAGUUAAGAAUGGCCAACUAAAAGAGAACUGGGAGAGUACAAUCUGAAAAACAAUACAUGAACAAAUGAAUUUCAAUAAAGCUAUAGAAAGCAAAGCCAAAUUAAUUCUGGAGGUGAAGAAUACAGUAAAAGAAAAAUUGUAAGACUGGCUCAAAACAAGAUUUUUCAAUUAAAACUGGAAACCUUGACCUUGAAAAGAGAACACUUGGACCAAAUGGAUUUAACAGAUCUAUAGAACAUUUCAUCUCAAAACAAAAGAAUAUAUCCUCUUAGCACCUCAUGAUCCUCCAAAAUUGGCCAAAUAAUCACACACAAAAAGCCUCAAAGAAUCCAAGAACAUUGAAGUAAUUCCAUGCAUUCUAUCAGAUCACCACAGACUAAGGCUGGACUGAAAUAACAACAAAAACAGUGAAAAUUCCACAUACUCAUGGAAACUGGAUGCUCUAGUCAAUGAUAACUUGGUCCAGGAAGAAAUUAAAAACUUUCUAGAAUUUAAUGAAAAUGAAAGCAUAGCAUACACAGACUUAAUGGGACACAUUGAAAGCAGUGUUGAGCACAAUAGCACUAAGCGCCUUCAUAAAGAAACUGAUCCUAUACUAGCAACUUUACAGCACAUUUUAAAGCUCUAAAAUGAAAAGAAGCAAACACAUCCAAAAGGAGUAGAUGGCAGGAAAUAGCCAAACUCAAGAUUGAAACCUAUUAGAAACAAAGAAAAUAUAAAAACUCAACAAAACCAAGAGCUGGUUCUUUGAAAAACACCAACAAGGUAGAUAAACCCUUAGCCAAACUAUCUAAAGGGCACAGAGCCAGUAUCCAGUUUAACAAAAUCAAAAAUGUAAAGCGGCACAUAAUAACAGGUACUGAGGAAAUUUUAAAAAGCAUUAGAUCUUACUACAAGAGACUUAACAAAACUGGAAAAUCUAGAUGAAAUGGUUGGCUUUCUAGACAGAUACCAUGUACUGAAGUUAAAUCAAGAGCAGGCAAACUAAAACAAGAACAAACAAACAGAAAAAAAAUGAAAACCAGCCCAGCACCAGAUGGUUUUAGUGAAGAAUUCUACCAGGCAUUCAAAAACGAGCUAAUACUAAUAUUCUUCAAACUAUCCCACAUAAUAGAAACAGGAGGAACACAACCUAAUUCAUUCUGUGAAGGCACAGUUACUCUGAAACCUAAAUCACACAAACACCCAACAAAACCAGACCAGUUUUGCUUAUGAAUAUCAACACAAAAAUACACAAUAAAAUUCUUGCAAAUUCAAUCCAUAAACAUAUCAAAGCCAUUAUUUACCAGGAUCAAGUAGGCUUCAUCCCAGGGCUUCAGGGAUGGUUCAAUAUAUGAAAAUCCAUAAACAUCAUCCACCAUAUACACAAACAGAUAUUUGAUGCAGAAAAAGCCUUUGAUAUUAAAAUUCUUAGAGCAGGAAUUCAUGGCACAUAUCUAAACACAAUAAGAGCAAUAAAUAGCAAACUGAAAACCAACAUCAAAUUAAAUGGAGAGAAACUUGAAACAAUCCCACUAAAAUCAGGAACAAGUCUUCCCACUCUCCCUGUCUUUUUAAUAUAGUACUCAAAAGUUCUAGCUAGAGUAGUUAGACAACAAAAGAAUCAAGGGGAUAUAAAUUGGUAAGGAAGAAGUCAAGGUAUCACUAUUUGCAGAGAACUCCUACAGCUGAUAAACAACUUCAGCAAAGUGGCUGGAUAUAAAAUUAACGGAAACAAAUCAGUAGCCUUCCUUUAUACAAACGAUAGAUGGGCUGAGAAAGAAAUUAGGGAAACAAAACCCUUCACAAUAGCCACAAAUAAUAUAUCUUGGUGUAACUCUAACCAAGUAAUUUUAAGAUCUGAAUGACAAGAAGGAGAGUGGGGAGUAGGAGAGGGGAACCUGAUCUUAUAUUGGGUGAGGGAAAAGGACUGAAGCCCCAAGGGCCAGCAGAAAGAAUGUAAACAGGCAUCCUCAGGAAAUAGGAGGUUGGGGGACCACCCCCCCUUACAACACACCAUUGACCUGGUAGGUGAAAGACUUCCAGGACUCAAAGUCUUAGAUGAAAUGCCUGACAGUAGAGAGAGGGAACUUUUAAAGCCCACCUCCAGCAGGAACACAGGACAUCAAGUGAGGGAUGGGUUUGCCAUCCCACAGUCAUACAUCUGACCCAAAAUUGUUCCUGUCUGAAAGAAUUACAAGGAUGGAAAUGGAGAGGAGCCUGAGGAAAAGAAGGUCCAUCGACAGGCCCAAAGUGGGAUCCAGCUUACGGGGAGAUCUCAAGGCCUGACACUACUACUGAGGCUAUGGAGCGCUCACAACAAGGGAUCUAUUAUGACUGCCCUCUGAAAGACCCCCCAAAAAAAGCAGCUGAAAGAAGCAGAUGAAGAUAGUUGCACCCAACCAAUGGAAAGAAGCAGUUGACCCUGUUGUUGAAUUAGGGAAGGCUGACAGAAGCUGAGGAGAAGGGUGAUCCUGUAGGAGGACCAGCAGUCUCAAUCUGGACCCCCGCAAUAACCCAAACAUUGGACCACCAAACAGCACAUACCAACUGAUAUGAGGUCCCUAACACACAGUAAACUUCCGGGUCUGUGUUCAUUCAGAGAUGAUGAACUUAACCCUUAAGAGACUGGAAGCCUUAGGGAAUUGGGGAUGGAUGGGUGGUGGCAAAUAGAAUAUGGAGUGUAAAAAUUAAUCAAAAAUAAUUUUAAAAAGAACUUCAAGUCCCUAAAGAACAAAAUAGCAAAUCUCAGAAGAUGGAAAGAUCUCCCAUGCACAUGGACCGGUAGGAUUAACAUAAACAUCUUACCAAAAGUAAGCUACAGUUCCAUGCCAUGCCCAUCAAAGUUCUAAUACAGUUCUUUACAGACAUGGAAAGAGUAACUCUCAACAGAGUAACUCAACAUCAUAUGGAAAAACAAAGAACCAGGAUAACAAAAACAGUUCUUAACAGUAAAAGAUCUUCCGGGGGAAAUAAUGAUUCCUGACCUCAAGCUGUACAAUCAAGCAAUUGUGAUAAAGAUCACGUGGUAUUGGUAUAGAGACAGAGAAGUCGGCCAGUGGAAUAGAACCGAAGACCCAGAAAUAAACCCACAUACCUCUGAACACGUGAUCUUUGAUAAAGAGGGCAUCUGAAAUCAGGAAAAUAGAAAAAUGAAAAGAUCUAGAGGGUUUGUGGAAUGAAAUCAUGAUCAUUAACUUUUAAAUUUCCCCAUUGUAGAGGUCAAAUAGAAGAGACAGAGAAAGAAAAUUUGAGUACAUAAACUAUUGAGAACCAGGCCAAUCAAAGCAUUCUCAGAGGCCCUAAUGAAAGGAGAAAAGUAAUCUCUUUAUUCCAAACUUUCAUCUAUCCCCUAUUUUUUGAAAACCUGAUCCACUCUCUCAAGGUUCUGUUACUGAAGGAUUGCCAGCUAGUCCAUGCCAGUAAAUAAUCAUUGAAAAUUCAGAUGUAUGAACAAUAUAGACAUUUAGGUAUAUUAUAGGUUCAAUAUGACAACGUAGACAACACACACUAAAGACUGAAAGAUUAAUUCUAUCAGUGUAUUUCUUAGCAAAUAUCUGUAGGCAAGGAGAGAGAAAAGUACGAAAUUCACUGGUUAAGUAUAGAGUUAAAACAACCACCCAAACAAAAGACAGUCGCAAACCUCUUUUUAGAUUUAAGAGCAUAUAGACCGAAAAAUAAAGUUAGAAACUAGGAAUACAUUACACAUGGAAAACAGGAGUGACAAUUAUGAAGAUAUAGUUACUAUAUAAUAAUAGACUCCAUUAAUGGUGAGGUCUCACCUUUGUAACACAAUAUCUGUCUUAAAACUUAAAACAUAAACAUAUAAACACCUGAAAAGACUAUCCUUUAGCAUUCUCCACUUAUAGUAGUGGAUAACUCAUCUGUACAAAGAAUCACUAGAGAACCAUUUGAGAAAUAUAUCAAUAAAUAAUAAAUAAUCUAACUUUAUAUCUCAUGGAACUUGAAAGGAAAAAACCAAAUCCUACAUGUUAAAGGGAUAGACAGGCUAGUGCAGGUAUAAAUUAAAGACAAAAAAUUAAAUCACCUUCAAACUCUUUAAUAAUUGAAGAUAGAAUAGUUCUAAACCAAUUAAUCAUUCAGAAAAGGCCAAAGUCAUCAACAGUAUUCCAGUAAAACAUAGUUUCAUGUACUAAUGUCAUAUCUACCCCUAUUUUACAAAAGUCUUUUAACUUACAGUCAGCAAAUGAGCAACACUAUAUUAACAUUUAAGAUAAUUACUAAUUAAGUAGUAAUUAUCUUAAGAGGUAUAGAAAAGUUUAUGAUAAAAUGUCAAAUUUAGUGCUGAAAUGUUUUAAUAAAGCACAUAUGUGCGAUGCUUACAGUAAAUAUCACAAGUAAAUAUUGAGUAACUGAAUUAUUUUCUUGAACUAAAGUAAGAAAAUGAUACCUAUGGAGCAGGUAAUAUGGCUAGUAGAUAAAAGGCAAUUGCUGCCAAGCCUGAUGACCUAAACUGAAUCCUUGGGACUGUUAUGGUAGAACUGACUUUUUUAAGUUGUCCCUUUAUGAUCACAUGAGUGUAAAGGCAUUUGCACAUGCAAGUGCAUGAACACAAACAUAAUAAAUAAAGUUAUGCCCUUUUUUAUCAAUUGGAUUCAAGAUAAUGUUGAAAGUUCUAGCUAGAGGAAUUGAGGAUGGGGAGUGAGAUAUACAAAUCAGAAAGGAAAAAGUAAGAUGUAUAUUUGCAAAUGAUAUGAUUGUACAGAAAAAUAUUAUUGCCUAAGGAAUUAUUACAGUCUUCAAAUCAAAGUUCAAUAUAUAAAACUACACAAGAAAUAUCUUCAUUUUUUUAUAUUAACAGUAAACUACCCAAAAGGGUAAUUAAGAAAGCUCUUAAGCAAAUAGUACCUCAAAUCAGAAAUAAAACCUUGAAUAUAUCAGUUAGUUUGGAUAAGAGUAUCAUGACCAUUUAAUAAUGAAGGUCUGUUAUUUGAACAAAUAGUUUUGGGGAAACUGGGUAUUAAGAUUUAGGAAAAUGAAUGUAGCACCUUUAAAUUACAGUAUAUAAAAUUAACUUAAAAUGGAUCAAAAAUAUUAAUGUAAGUAUAAAUUUUGAAGAAAAAUAUUAUAUGGGGCAUUAAUUUCAUGAAUUUAACACCAAAGGUAUAGACAACAAAAGACUGAACUUCAUGAUAUGUAGGCAUAAGUUUAACCACAGCAGCAAAAGAUGACAGUAAUAUAUGUUACCUCUUUGUGGAUCAAAAGACUUUCAGCACAGUCAUACAGCCCAAAGUAAUGCACAGAUUGAAAAUGAUUUUAUUCUGCUUUUAUGCUUUCUUUAGAAAAGUAGAAUUCUAUAAAAAUAUGAAAUCACAAGGAAAGUUGAAUAGCUGAGCAUUAUAUACAUUAAAAAUAGCUGCAACUAUCACACACCUUGAUUAACCUACUCGUAGGGAUAGACCAAUUGUAAGCAAUGCAGAUUCUCAUAGUGACACAUAAACGGACAAUUUACCUUUCACACAGGAAUAAUGAAUAUAUGGUGAGAACAGAAUACUCAUCAAAACUACAAAUUAUUGCUAAAGAUAAAUAAAAACAGUCACCAUUCAUAAAUUUAAGGGUAAUAUAUAACUACUACACAAAGCAUUUUAUGCCCUCAGGGCAUCCAUAAUAAACAUCCAAAUGUCUACAGAAAUUAGAAAAAUCCAUCCUAAUAUUCACACCCUUUAGAUAUUACACAAAACUGUUACAUGAUCAUGGUCUUCAAAUUAAGCACAAACAGUGCUGAGGGACUCCAUUUUCUAACAUCAAAUGGUUUUACCAUGUUACCAUUGUGAAAAGUGAAUGAUAGUAAUUUAAAUAAUUUAAAGAUAGACUUACAGAUCAAUGGAAUGUAAUAAAAGAGAGAACUCAGAAAUGGUCCUUGGUGUAUGUGGCAUUUUACAGUGUUUUCCAGACUAAUUUAAAAAGAAAAAGUCAUAUUGACUUUUAUAUAGUGCUGGUAAAACUAGACAUCCUUAUGUAAAAGUGUAAAUUUUGGAUCUUUACUAAAAGCAUAUAUAAAAAUUAACUAAACAUGACCUGAGAAGUAUAGAACUCAUGGAACUGGCAGUGACUUCUUAGAUAUGAAACUUAAAGAACAAAGAAAAACGGGGGGAAGAAUAUAGAAAACUUCAUGAGUAUUUUAAAUGUUUGAACAUCAAAAUACUAUUUCGCUGUAAAAACCCAACCACAAAGAGAGUAAAGCAUUUGCAAGAUACAUAUCUGAUAAGGGAUUAAUAUCUGUUAUUUAUAGAAAAAUGCAUUAUUUAUAUAAGAUCAAUUCAAAGUGUGUAAAAGACCUUGAGAAGUAUCAUAAGAACAAUUAUAAAUGACAUACACAUAUAGUAAUGUGAAUAUCAAUUAUUAAUGAAACGUACAUCAAAACUCAAAAUAACAGGAUCACUGAGAUAGCUCAUCAGGUAAAAGUGCUUGCUGUCAGUUGAUGCAAGACUGACAAUCUAAUUGUCCUUGAAACCUGUGUGAAGGUGGAUGAAGAGAAUUGAUUCCGUAGUAUUAACCUCUGAUCUGCAUGUAUACCAUAUACAGUGUGAACUGCCCCCACAUCUAACUAUAAUUAAAUAUACCUCACAAUCACAUACCAUUUCAUGAGAGAGAAAGAAAGAGCAGAGAAGAGAUUCAUCAAGACAUAUUACAAUAAAAAUGUCUAAAAAUUCUAAGAAAAGUGAUGUCAUUUAUAGUAUUAUGGACUACAGUUGAUUUCAAAGAUGAAAUUCUACAGGUUAAGAGGUGAUGAAGGAAGAUAUACAAAGUUCAGAAAUAAAGCAAAUUCCAACCAGUAAUUUCAAGGGCAUUGUUAGAAAUGAAGGAGAAACAAUGCCCAUUUAAAACAAGCAAAAUCUGAGGGAAUCCCUAAGCACUAGACCAGCAAGCAUUAUAAAACCACAAAAAUAAGGGACAAGAAAAGUCUCAACUAAAAGACAGCAAAAGCAUGAAGACAUCAGUUAUCCAUAAUAACCUUUAGUCUAAGAUACUUCAAAUUCUGUAGAUAUGGUAGCACACACCUUUAACCCUAGCACUCAGCAGGCAGAAGCAGAUAGAUCUCUAUGAAUUUGAGUUCAAUCUGGUCUACAUAACAAGUUUUAGGACAGCCAGGACUACUUGAAGCAACCUUGCCUACAAUAAAUGUGAUAUCUACAAAAAAUAUGAGAUGGUACUAUAGACAAAUGGUCAAGAUGAUUAUUUCAAAUCUAUAUUUGCUCAUUAUUGGAGCAUAUAGUUUUAUAACACAACAUCAGACAAAAGCAUAUGUGAGAGUUAUCAUCAUACUGUGUCAAUGGGUUAUCCAGACCCUUCCCUUCAAAAAAGGCAAAAAUCAAUGAAAUCAAACUCCCUUAAAGAAAUACAGAAGAACACAGGUAAACAUCUAGAAGCCCUGAAAGGGGUAACACAAAACAAUACAGGAUCUAAAAAUGGAAGUAGAAACAAAGAAGAAAUCACAAAGGGAGACAACCUUGGAGAUUCAAAACCUAGGAAAGUGAUUGGUGAAAAGCAAACACAAGAAUCUUGCCAACAGAAACCAAGACUACUUGGCAUCAUCAGAACCCAGUACUCCCACCACAGUGAGUCCUGGAUACCCCCAACACACCCAAAAAGCAAGAUUUGGAUUUAAAAUCAUUUCUCAUGAUGCUGGUAGAGGAUUUUAGAAAGGACAUUAAUAACUCCCUUAAAGAAAUACAGGAGAACACAGCUAGAAGUCCUUAAGAGGAAACACAAAAAUUACUUAAAGAUGACAAAAAACACAACCAAACAGGUGAAGGAAUUGAACAAAACCAUCCAGGAUCUAAAAAUGGAAGUAGAAAUAACAAAGAAAUCACAAAGGGAGACAACUCAGUAGAUAGAAAUUCUAGGAAAGAAAUCAGGAGCCAUAAAUGCAAGUAUAACCAAACAGAAUACAAGAGAUGAGAGAAUCUCAGAUGCAGAAGAUUCCAUAGAAAACAUGGACACAACAAUCAAAAUGAAAAAUGGAAAAAGAUCCUAACUCAAAACAUCCAGGAAAUCCAGGUCACAAUGAAAAGACCAAACCUACGGAUAAUAGGAAUAGAUAAGAAUGACUUAAAGGGCCAGCAAAUAUCUUCAACAAAAUUAUAGAAGAACACUUCCCAAACCUAAAGAAAGAGAUGCCCAUGAACAUACAAGAAGCCUACAGAACUCCAAAUAAACUGGACCAGAAAAGAAAUUCUGCCUGACACAUAAUAAUAAAAACACCUAAUGCACACACACACACACACACACACACACACACACACACAAAUAUUAAAAGCAUUCAGGGGAAAAGGUCAAGUAACAUAUAAAGGCAGACCUAUUAGAAUUACACCUGAUUUCUCACCAUAGACUAUGAAAGGCAGAAGAUACUGGACAGAUAUUAUACAGAUCCUAAGAGAACACAAAUGCCAACCCAGGCUACUAUAUCCAGCAAAACACUCAAUUACCAUAGAUGGAUGAACAAAGUAUUCCAUGGCAAAACCAAAUUCACACAAUAUCUUUACACAAUAAAUCCAGAACUUCAAAGAAUAAUAAAGGGAAAACUCCAACCCAAGGAGGGAAACUAUACCCUAGAAAAAGCAAGAAAGUAAUCCUUCAACAAACCUAAAAGAAGAUAGCCACAAGAACAGGAUCCCAACUCUAACAACAAAAAUAACAGGAAGAAACAAUUACUUUUCUUUAAUAUCUCUUAAUAUCAAUGGACUCAAUUCCCCAAUAAAAAUACAUAGACUAACAGACUGACUACGUAAACAGGACCCACCAUUUUGCUGCUUAUAGGAAAUCCACCUCAGGGACAAAGACACUACCUCAAAGUAAAAGGCUGGAAAACAAUUUUCCAAGCAAAUGGUCCCAACAAACAAGCUGAAAUAGAAAUUCUAAUAUCAAAUAUAACCGAUUUUCAACCUAAGUUAUCAAAAGAGACAAGGAGGGGCACUUCAUAUUCAUCACAGGAAAAAAAUUUCAAUUCUGAACAUCUAUGCUCCAAAUGCAAGGGCAUCUACAUUAAAGAAACUUUAGUCAAGCUCAAAGUACAUAUUACACCUCAUACAAUAAUAGUCGGAGACUUGAACACCCCACCCUCAUCAAUGAACAGAUCAUGGAAACACAAACUAAACAGAGACAGAGCGAAACUAAGAGAAGUUAUGAAACAAAUGGAUUUAACAGAUAUCUAUAGAACAUUUCAUCAUAAAACAAAAGGAUAUACCUUCUCAGCACUUCAUGGCACCUUCUCCAAAACUGACCAUAUAAUUGGACACAAAAAUAUUGAAACAAUGCCAUGCAUCCUACCAGAUCACCAUGGACUAAGGCUGCUCUUCAAUAACAACAUAAAUAAUAGAAAGCCAACAUACAUGUGGAAUCUGAACAACACUCUACUCAAUGAUAACUUGGUCGGGGAUGAACUAAAGAAAGAAAUUAAAGACUUUUAAUGAAAAUGAAGCCACAACAUACCCAAACUUAUGGGACACAAUGAAAGCAGUCCUAAGAGGAAAACUAAUAGCUCUGUGUGCCACCAAAAAGAAACUGGAAAGAACAUACACUAGCAGCUUGACAGUACACCUAAAAUCUCUCAAACAAAAGGAUGCAAAGUCACCCAAGAAAAGUAGAUGGCAGGAAAUAAUCAAAUUCAGGGCUGAAAUAAACUAAGUGGAAACAAAAAGAACUAUACAAAGAAUCAACCAAACCAGGAGCUGUUCCUUUGAGAAAAUCAAUAAGAUAGAUAAACCAGACUAACUAGGGGGCACAGGGACAGUAUCCAAAUGAACAAAUUCAGAAAUGAAAAGGGAGACAUAACAGAAUCUGAGGAAAUAAAAAAGAUUGUCAGUUCCUACUAAAAAAGCCUAUACUCAACAAAACUGGAAAACCUGGAGUUGGGCAUGGUGGCACAUGCCUUUAAUCCCAGCAUUUGGGAAGCAGAGGCAGGUAGAUUUCUGAUUUCAAGGCCAGCCUGUUCUACACAGUGAGUUCCAGCACAGCCAGGGAUACACAGAGAAACCCUGUCAAAACAAAACAAACAAAAACCUGGAAAAAAAUAAAAGCCCAGGAUCAGAUGAGUUUAGUUCAGAGUACUAUAAGACCUUCAAAGAACACUUAACUCCAAUUCUCCUCAAGCUUUUCCACAAAAUAGAAACAGAAGGUAUUCUACCCAAUAUAUUCUAUGAAGCUACAAUUUCUCUGAUACCUAAAUCACACAAAGAACCAUCAAAGAGAACUUCAGACCAACUUCUCAUAUAUUUUGAUGCAAAAAUACUCAAAAAGAUUCUCACAAACAGAAUCCAAGAACACAUCAAAAUGAUCAUCCAUCACAAUCAAGUAGGCUUCAACCCAGGGAUGCAGGGAUGGUUCAAUAUACAGAAAUCUAUCCAUGUAAUGCACUAUAUAAACUCAAAGACAAAAACCACAUGAUCACCUCAUUAUAUGCUGAGAAAGCAUUUGACAAGAUCCAACACCCCUUCAUGAUAAGACUCUUGGAAAGAUCAAGAAUUCAAGGCCCAUACCUAAACAUAAUAAAAGCAAUAUACAGCAAACCAGUAGUAAAUAUCAAACUAAAUGGAGAAAAACACAAAGCGGUUCCACUAAAAUCAAGGAGUAGAGAAGGCUGCCCACUAUCUCCCUACCUUUUCAAUAUAGUACUUGAAGUCCUAGCCAGAGCAAUUAGACUACAAAAGGAGAUCAAAGGGAUACACAUUGGAAGGAAGAAGUCAAACUAUCACUAUUUGCAGAUGAUAUGAGUAUAUAUAUAUAUAUAUAUAUAUAUAUAUAUAUAUCCCCCAAAAUUCAACCAGAGAACUAAACCUGAUAAACAGCUUCAAUGAAGUAGCUGGAUAUAAAUUUAACUCAAAUAAAUCAGUGGCCUUUCUCUACACAAAGGAUAAAUGGGCUGAGAANNNNNNNNNNNNNNNNNNNNNNNNNNNNNNNNNNNNNNNNNNNNNNNNNNNNNNNNAGGAAGACCAAAGUGUGGAUACUUGGAGUUACAGAGACAAAGUUCAGAGCAGAGACUGAAGGAAGGACAAUCCAGAGACUGCCCCACCUGGAGAUCCAUCCCAUAAACCACUACCAAAUCCAGACACUAUUGUGGAUGUCAACAAGAUUUUGCUGACAGGAGCCUGAUAUAUCUGUCUCCUGUGAGGCUCUGCCAGUGCCUGGAAAAUACAGAAGAGGAUGCUCACAUUCAUCCAUUGGACAGAACACCGUGUCCCCAAUGAGGGAGCUAGAGAAAGUACCCAAGGAGCUGAAGGGGUCUGCAACCCUAUAGGUGGAACAACAAUAUGAACUAACCAGUACACCCAGAGCUCCCUGGGACUAAACCACCAAUCAAAGAAAACACAUGGUGGGGCUCCUGUCUCUAGCUGCAUAUCUAGCAGAGGAUGGACUAGUUGGCUAUCAAUGAGAGGAGAGGCCCUUGGUGCUGUGAGGUUUUAUGUUACAGUAUAGGGGAAUGCCAGGGCCAGGAAGCAGGAGUGGGUGGGUUGGGGAGCAGGGGGAGUGGGGAGGAUUUUCGGAGAGGAAACUAGGAAAGGGGAUACAUUUGAAAUGUAAAUAAAGAAAAUAUCUAAUAAAAAGAAUGAUAUCAUAGAAAAGAAAUAAAUUAAUCAAAAUCUUUAAAAAAGAAUGAUGAUUCCCAACUUAAAGGGCCAAUAAAUAUCUUCAACAAAAUUAUAGAAGAAAACUUUCCUAACGUAAAGAAACGAGAUGUUCAUAAUCAUAAAAGGAGCCUACAGAACUCCAAAUAGCUUGGACCAGAAAAAAAAUUCCUCCUGACACAUAAUAGUCAAAACACCAAAUGCACAAAACAAAGAAAGAAUAGUAAAAGCAGUCAGGGAAAAUGUUCAAGUAACAUAUAAAGGCAGACCUAUCAGAAUUACACCAGACUUCUCAUCAGAGACUAUGAAAGCUAGAAGAUCCUGGGCAGAUGUUAUACAGACCCUAAAAGAUCAUAAAUGCCAGCCUAGGCUACUAUACCCAACAGAACUCUCAAUUACCAUAGAUGGAGAAACCAAGAUAUUCCACUACAAAACCAAAUUUACAAAAUUUAUUUCCACAAAUCCAGAUCUACAAAGGAUAAUAGAUGGAAAACUCCAACACAAGGAGGGAAACUCACCCUAGAAAAAGCAAGUAAGUAAUCCUCUUUCAACAAACCCAAAAGAAGAUAGCCACACAAACAUCAAAAUAGCAUCCAAAAUAACAGCAAGCAACAAUCACUAUUCUUUAAUAUCUUUUAACAUUAACAGACUCAAUUCCCCAAUAAAAAGACAUAGACUAACAGACUGGUUACAUAAACAGGACACAGCAUUUUGAUGCAUACAGAAAAUGCACCUCAAUGUCAAAGACAGUCACUACCUCAGAGUAAAGGGCUGGAAAAUGAUUUUCCAUGCAAAUGGUCCCAAGAAACAAGCUGGAGUAGCCAUCCUAAUAUAGAAUAAAGUCAACUUUCAACCAAAAGUUAUCAAAAAGGAUACGGAAGGAUUCUUCAUACUCAUCAAAGAAAAAUCUACCAAGAAGAACUCUAAAUUCUGAACAUCUAUGCUCCAAGUGCAAGAACACCCACAUUCAAAAAGAAAAUUACUAAAGCUCAAAGCACAAAUUGCACCUCACACAAUAAUAGUGGGAGAUUUCAACACCCCACUCUCAUCAAUGGAUAGAUCAUGGAAACACAAACUAAACAGAGACAGAGUGAAACUAACAGAAGCUAUGAAAUAGAUGGAUUUAACAGAUAUCUAUAGAACAUUUCAUCACAAAACAAAAGGAUAUACCUUCUUCUCAGCACCACAUGGCACCUUCUCCAAAACUGACCAUAUAAUUGGUCACAAAAAAAAGGCCUCAACAGAUAGAAAAAUAUUGAAAUAAUCCUAUGCUUCCUAUCAGAUCACCACAGACUAAGGCUGGUCUUCAAUAGCAACAAAAACAGAAAGCCCACAUACAUGUGGAAGCUGACCAACACCCUAUUCAAUGAUAACUUGUUCAAGGAAGAAAGAAAGAAAGAAAUUAAAGACUUUUUAGAACUUAAUGAAAAUGAAGCCACAACAUACCCAGAUGUUUGGGACACAAUGAAGGCAGUCCUAAGAGGAAAACUCAGCUCUGGGUGCCUCCAAAAAGAAACCAGAGAAAGUAUACACUAGCUGCUUAACAGCACACCUGAAAGCUCUAGAACAAAAAGAAGCAAAUACACCCAACAGGAGUAGAUAGCAGGAAAUAAUGAAACUCAACCAAGUAAAAACAAAAAGAUCUAUACAAAUAAUGAACAAACCAAGAGUGGUUCUUUGCGAAAAUCAACAAGAUAAACCCUUAGCCAGACUAACCAGAGGGCACAGAGAUAGUAUCCAAAUUAACAAAAUCAGAAAUGAAAAGGGAGACAUAACAACAGAAACCGAGGAAAUUAAAAAUCAUCAGAUCCUACUACAAAUCCUAUACUCAACAAAACUGGAAAACCUCAAUGAAAUGGACAAUUUUCUAGACAGAUACCAGGUACCAAUGUUAACUCAGGAUCAGAUAAACCAUCUAUACAGUCUAAUUGUAAUUGGUGGUAAUGUUGCAUAACUAAAGAUCACAAAAUAAUGGGUAAAGAUUCCAUCUAGAAGUCACAUACACAUAAAUUAGACAUUAGUUGAAUAGAAUACUAUACAAUGAAUAGUGUACCAAUGAAGGAGAACUAUCUGUGAAUGGGUGAUAUAUUUCUUUUUAAAUAAAUAACUUGAAAUGAUAAGAUGAUUACAUGUAUUUGGAAGAGCCACACAUAAACUCUAAACCAGAAAACAUUACAAUUUGUUACUUACAAGAGUUGGGACUUAUGAAUAUAGAAGGGAUAUGAGAGGAAAAGGCUUCUCUCAGUAGAUUGUUUUGUGUGUGUGUGUGUGUCUCUCUCUCUCUUUUUUUUUUUUUUUUUGGUUUUUGGUUUUUGGUUUUUUGAGACAGGGUUCCUCUGUGGCUCUGGCUGUCCUGGAACUCACUUUGUAGACCAGGCUGGCCCCGAACUCAGAAAUCUGCCUGCCUCUGCCGCCUGAGUGCUGGGAUUAAAGGCGUGUACCACCACACCCGGCAUGUGUCAUUUUUGACUUUUGGAAAUAUAUUGAUAUUUUCAAUAUUUUAAUAACAAAUAUGUGGGUAGUUUCAAAAAACAGUAGGAUAAGAAACACAGGCUAAAGUCUCAGUAGGCUAGCCAUAGUUCUAGGUACUGGGGAAAAGAUUUGUAAGAAUGAUACCUUAGGAGUUCAAGAGCAGUCUGGAUAAUGGCAAACCUCCAUCUCUCUAAACCAUUGGCUCUCAAAUUUUAUGUCAUGUCUCCUUUCACAAAGGUCACAUAUCAGAUAUCCUGCAUAUCAGAUAUUUACAUUAUGAUUCAUAAUAGUAACAAAAUUACAGUUAUGAAGUGGCAACAAAAAUAAUUUUUAUGAUUGGGGAGCACCACAACAUGAACAUCUAUAAUAAAGGGGUACAGCAUUAGAAAUGCUGAGAAUCACCACUCUAUAUGAACAACUAGCAAAUUCUCAUCUUUCUAAAGAAACAAUCAAGCAAAUACAGUGUUUAAAGUUUUUACCAUUGUAAAUCUGAACGAGACUGUCAAAACCAGUGAUUUCAGAAAUGUAAAUUAAAGUCACAUAACAAACUGAAGAAAAACAUUAGGGUUGUGGAGCAGAAACAGAGUACUUAUUUCAGUUGUGAGGACCCUAGUUAAUCACAAUUAUUUAAAAAAAAACUACAAAAGUAAAAUCUGAUAAAUCUCCAUAGAAAUUGCAAGGUCUGUGGAAAUUUAACCUAAGGUUGCCUUUCCCAUACCCAGAUGAGGAUGAGUACAAUAGCCUUGAAGACUAGCAUCUUUUCUUCCAAUGAAGAAGCCUAACCUGAUUUGAACUCUAUCACCAGUCUCAUUCUUUAUGUCAAAAAAUAAUGUCCUCAAGACAUAUACUGGGUAAACCCACUGUUAUAGCAAUCUGACGCUCUAGCACUGGUUGUUGCACAUAAAUACAAAAAAAAGAAAAAAAAAAAAGAUAGUAAAUUCUUAAGAGAUAAGGAAGAUGGUCUGUACUCUCAAAAAAGACCAGAAGUACUCUCCUUAUCUACACUGCUGAUUGUGAGACACUGUACAGACAAGAUGGUAAAACAAAGGACAGUUGUAAAGAGCCCAAAUCUUGAAUGGAAAUCCUAAGGCAAAGCCCUUUCAGGAAAACUUGGAAAAUUUACCAGCUUGAGAUACUUAAAACAAGGCCUGUGACUAAUGGUGGCUUAAGCUGAUCAAUUAAAGCACGCUUUAAAAACAAAGACAGUCAUUUUCUAAAGAGCAAACUUGAAGAUAAAUCAGAUACACACAUUGCAGGGAAAUGCAAACACCAUAGAAGCAAAAUUGGCACAGGCAUGGCAGAAACAAGCAAUUGCCCACGUAGAUGGGAAGGAAUUCAAAUGUAGUGUUCCUACAAUCAACACAUCAUCCUAAGUGGAGAGAGGGGCUAGAGAGAUUAAAGAUUUGUAAAUAGAAAUGAUCACUGAGAGAACCUAAAUACUAGUUUUAGUAGGUCAAGAUUUCAAAGUAUAAAUAUUCUCACACUAAAAUAAGCCUUGUUUUAAAGAAUAAAAGUAAAACAUUACCACAAUAACUCAUCAAAUGAAAUGUUAAUAAAGAGAUAUAUUAUAAAGUUCAGUCAGUACAAAUUACAGUAACUUAAAUGAAAACCUUACUUGUAGAGCCAGAUUGCAAGAUAAGUUGGGAGCAGAGAAAAAGAAUCAGUGAAUUUAAAUAUAGAUAUAUAAACAUUAUUCAGUUUAAAGGACAGAAAAAAAAAGAGUAAGGAAGAACAAUGAACAGAACCUCAGAGAUCUGUUAGCUACCAUAAGAGUAGGUGUUACCACGAAUUUAUAUGUAAAUUGCACCAUGCAAUCCUCUGCUCCAUUGAAACAGAUGUGGUGGUAGAUGCUGAUAACCUCAGUAUUCAAGUGGUGGAAAUAAGAAGGUUUAGAAGCUCAGGGUCAUUUUCAGCUGCACAGUGAAUAGUUUAGACCACCCUGGGCUACAGGAGACCCUGUCUGUAAACAAACAAAACAAACACCAGUGCCUGACAUUGUACAUAAUGGUGGAAGAUGAAAUGCUUUCCCUUCAAAUCAAGAAUAAGUUAACUCAGUAUAAUGGCAUACAAAUGUAAUUCCAUCUCCCCAGAGGAGGGUGAAGAAGAAGAAAGAUAAGUUAGAUAUCAUCUUGGGCUAUAUAGUUGUCUCAAAAAAAAUAAAAUCAGCCUCCCCCAAUUAAGACAAGGGGACCUGUUUUAUCACUUUUAUUAAAUAUUGUGUAGAAGUUCUGAUCAGUUAUACAAGGAAAAGAAAUAAGUAAAAUUAUAUUUCUAAAAUCCCAAGAUUGUAAAAUAUAAAACUCAAUCUUAUUUCUAUGUACCGUGAGGGACUAAUGAAAUGAAGAAAACAAUUCAUUUUAUAAUGUAAAAAUGAAUAAAUCACAGGUAUGAAUGUACUUAAUGCCACAGAAAUACACUUAAAAUUAUUAACUUAUAAAUUAUGUGCUUUUUUACCAAAAUAAAAGGAACAAAAUUAAUAGAUCUAUUUUUUAAAAGUAUACAAACUAUACUCUAUGAAUGACAGGAUACCAUUGAAAGUCUAGAUCUAAAUAAAUUAAUAUAUAUCUUGUGUUUAUGAAUUGGAAGACUUGAAGUCAAGAUACAUAUGGUCUUCAAGAUGAUGUAGAGACCUGAUCCUUACCAAAAUAUCAGGUGUCUUUUCUAGAAAAUAACAAGCAAUAUUUAAAAUUAUAUAAGACCCAAAUGACCUACAAUAAUUAAAGCAAUCUCCCAAAUCAGUCAAGUUAAUGGGUUCAUACUUUUCAGUAUAUACUUACUAUAAAAUAACAAGGCACUAUGUAAGCAUCACAUCAAAUAGACAUACAUAAGAGGGGAUAGAAUUAAUAGUCUAUUAAAUAGUUUAUUAAAUAUAAAACCAGAUAGCUAUGGUAAGUGGACUUUUGAUAAAGGUGCCACAGAAAUAAAUGAGGGAAUGAACAGUGUUUUGGACGGACUUUUCUUCAACAGCUGGUUAUAUAUGUAAGGGAAAUAAAGUUGAAUGGUUCCCUGCCACUACAUGUAAAAGCUUAAAAUCAAUCAAAGACUUAAAAAUAGCAAUUAAAUCUUGCAGAAUUCUUACAAAACAACAUAGAGUCAAAUCCUUGUAACCAAAUGUUUGACAAAAGGUGUUUUGUUUUUUAUUAUUUUGAUAUAAACUGAAAGUAAAAUAAAGAGCUGAUUCACUGGACUUUAUUAAAAACUUAAAAAAUUUAUGCUUGGGGGUAUACUACAAAGAAAGUGGAAGCUGUAGAGAUGGCUCAGCGGUUAAGAAUAUUGGCUGCUCUUCCAGAGGACCGUGGUUGAAUUACCAACACCUAUAUGGCAGCUAAAAUAACUUCAGUUCCAGGGAACCCAAUAACCUUACAAAGAUAUAUAUGCAAGCAAAACAUUAAUACACAUAAAAAGGAAUUAUCAAAAAAUUUUAACGAAAGUAAGAUGGCAAUACAUAGGUGUGAGAAAAUACUCAAAAAUUGUUUGUUGAUACAAUAUUUGUAGCAGGAUAAAUAUGAUAUAUAUCAAUACACAUACAUAUAUACACACAUAAUUCAAUAUAUACAACACUCAGAACUCUUUGCAAUUCAGAUACACACACAAACACACACAUAAUCCCAAUUUAAAAAAUGAAGAAUCUAUGGCCUGUGAACCUUUAAUCUUAGCACUUCAGAGGCAGACAAGAAGAUCUCUAUGAAUUAAAAAAUAGCUCCAGUAAAGACCAUGUCAAUAGAAUGAGAUAGAUAGCUAUAGAGGGGGCAAAAAAUUGAGAAAUCAUAUACUUGACUUUGGCUCUGUAUUCAGAACACAAGAAGAACUUCUUAAAACUUAACAUAAAAGGAAGUUCAGUUGGAAAAUUAGUAAAUAAUUUAAAUAAACAGUUCACUGAAUGGAAGAAUGUGGGAAAAUGAUUCAUUAUUAUUAUCCAUUGGCAAAAUACAAAUUUAAACCACAAUAAGAAAUUACUGUGCCAGGCAUGGUAGCAUAUGCCUUUAAUCCCAGCACUCUGCUACACAAAGAAACCCUCUCUCAAAAAAACCAAAAGAGAAAAUUUACUGCAUGUUUACCAGAAUUGGUAAAAUGAAAAAUACUGUCAAUAUUAAAUGAUCUAUAGUAAUUCCAAAUUAGGAAUAACUUAGAUGUCUGUGGAUGAGUGAAUGGUUAAAACUGUGGUCUAUACAUACCAUGAAAUUCUACCCAGCAACAAGUCUGAAUUAACUACUGAUAUAUAAAACAACUUGGAUGAACAUCUAGAGAAUUAUGGUAAAUUCUAAAAAUGGUCAAAUUUCAAAAGAUGUGUUUGAUUCUAUUUAUAUAGCAAUCUCAAAAAAGCAGAUCUAUAGAAUCAAGAACAGAUUAGUGAUUACUGGGAAUUAAGGGAUGGUGGGAGGGAAGACGGUGUGGCUAUAAAAGGACAAACAGGGAUCUUUGUGGUAACGAAUAAUAUUCUGUAUCAUUGAACCAGUGUUUCCAUCCUCCUUAAAUUGCACUACAGUUUUGUUACUACUGGGAAAACUAUAUAUGACUUUUUCAAACUAUAUAUGAUCUCUUUGCAUUAUUUAUUACAAAUGCAUGUAAAUUUCUAAAAUUAUAUUAAAAGCUUGAAUUUUAGAAGUAUGCAAAAGGAAACCAGUAAGAAAGUAGGCAAAGGGGCUUUCUGCUGAGCUUAAUGACUAGAGUUUGAUCCCUAAGACUCAUAUUGUAGAGGGAGAAAAGAAACUCCCACAAGUUUUCCUCUGUUCUCUAUGCAUGUAUUAUGGUAUGAGUGUGCCAUCUCCUUCCCAUAUCUGUGAAAAAAUAUAACUGUACAAAGGAUCUAAAUACAUAUACCAGUAAGGAAGAUAUGUAACUGACCAAUAAACACAAAAAUAUUCAAUACCAUUUAUAAAGCACAUCAGGACUGAAAUCAGAUAACAAAAUACUAGGUAGACAGUUUUUUCUCAGCACUUUUUGGAUGGGGUAUUAUAGAUGGAAAAUCAUUUUUGCAGCUAC
rnacentral:lncRNA from 1 species